AUUUGACUCACAUCGGUUGCUUGGUAAUGUUCGAUACUCAAUUUCCGAAUGUCCUCCAUCAGUGUCUGCUUUGAUAUCGAUCCAAUUUGGAACGCUAAUCACAUGUUGAACGAUUAAAUUAUUGCAUUAACAUGGCAAUGCCUGCAUUGCAAAGUGUUUUCACGACUCGCUUCCGACUUUGAGAACAUAGAGCGAUCAUGAUUGUUACGUCAUCCGAAAUAUUACUCAUGCUUCCGACAAUUAGAGCUUGUAUUUGUCUCAGUUUGAUUUAUUACAUUUGUUAAAAUGAAAACUACAAUAGGAUAAUGCCUGUGAAAUCAAUAUAUGUCCAGAUUUAUAAUCGCAUUUUUUGACUCUUGAGCAGCAUUUGCUGAAAUCAGUUUUGACAUUAUACGAUAAAUAAAUAAAUAGAUUUAAGAUGUUGAGAGCCAGUUUAAUAUUCAUCAUGUCACAUUUGCAAUAGCAAUUUGAGGAAUUUGAAUCUGUUUUAAAACACAGCUUGAAUUUUAUUUAUCUUGAUUCAAACAUCGAUUUGUAAAAAAAAGCAUGUAAAUAAAAAGCUUUAUAAGCUUGCAUAAAGAACCUGAUUUGUGUGUGAAGUUUCAAGAAUAGAUUUAUUAAAUUCAGAAUAUGUGAAAUAUUAUUCUUUACUACAAUAUUUUUAUAUAUUCUGAGAUAAUACUUAUGAUUCUCUAUAUUUGAUAUUAAUAAGGUAGCAAUAUGCGCUUAUUUUAAAUUAUUAAAUUAUUUUUUCAAAUUUGAUAUGGACGUAUCAGCGACGUAUAAACAUGCUGGUAGCUUUAAUAUUCAUUAAUAUAAGCUUAUCUAUGUUUUAAUCGGAAAAGUACUUAUGGAAAUUAUUUUAUUAUUAAGUUACUACAGUUUUUGCGACGAUUUAUUCAUUCUAUUUUUUAUUUAUUACAAUUAUAAUAUUUGAUUUAAAAAAUUUGUAUGCUUUACUUUUCUUUUAUAAAAAUCUGAAAAACAUAAUGAAUAUAUUCGCAUAGUUUUUUUUUUUUUAAUUAAAACUGAUAAAUUUUAAACGAUAGGUUUACUAAUUCUUUUCAAAUAAAGAGUAAUUAUCAAUUAUUGAAAUUGUUAUUAAAGAAAGAAAUUAUUUACACACAGUAAGAAAAAUUUUCCAUUAGUAAAACACGUUUAUUUAGUAAAAAUCAAAUUGAGGCAAAUUCUCUCAUUAAUUAGAAUUCAAGUAACAAUAUUUUCAUUUCAAUUAAAUGGAAUUAAUCAUUAUCUUAGAUAACGUUAACGAGCUCGCGAAAUGAAACGCGAAACGUGCAAUAAUAUCUUUACUGUUACCAGAAGGUUGUGAUAAAAGACUAUUUUUGUUUUAAAAAUCAACAAUUUAAACGCUUGUCAAAUGAAAUACUUCCUGUCUUGAAUAACGAGCGUUUAGUCGAUAUCGUUCAGGCUAGCGUUGCUAUAUCAAGCUAACGUAAUAUCCUUUUGUACACGUAAACCAUGCGUCUGUCGAUCGAUCUUGUUCUACCUCGCUGAUUCUGUUGACGUAUCUACAUAUGGAUUCACAUAUAGAUUCGCGACGUGUUACAAUCGCGCUGAGUUAUCGCAAUUUGCAUCUCACGCAUCAGCGAGAUGGAAAGGACUUCGGGAGUUCAUAGAAUAGUAGGGUGACUGAAAAGGAGAGCUUUUGCGUUCAGUUAACGAGUCUGCUCUUACUUUGAUACAUCAAGAGAGAGAAAGAGAGAGAGAGAGAGAGAAAGGGAAGGAAAGAGCAAUCAUCCUUUGUACGAAGUAACGUACGUCAGCUAUGCUAGAUAUUUACCAAUAAAUUAUGGCAUAUGUGAAAAUUUAAUGAAAAAUUUGAAUAUAGAGGUUUAUCGAUUUGUUGGCCAUAAUCAGAAUCCUUUAAAAUUCUUCGUAUACUUACAGAUUAUAAAUAGAGUAUUGAACGAUCGUUAGAUGUAAAGGUGAAAUUACAUGAUGUAUCUUAUCUGCUCUGUAUACGGAAAGAAGCAAUUAUUCUGGUAUUCCAUGCGGCUGCAUUGAACGUUACUUAAUACAUACGAACAGAAUGAGGAUUCGCGUCAUGAGGAUUGCAGGGCAUGCGUUACAAUUUUGCCGAAUGGAAUGCGCACUAGCGAAAGCUAGUGGUUUAUAGCAGAAAUUCGUAGAAUUUCCAAUGAACUGCGGUUGUUUGCUGACUAUAGCAUUCUCCACUGCUCAAAAUUUUAUCUGUCUCGUUUUAUGCCGCAUUCAUCUACAAGUAUACAUAAAAGGUCGAAAUAUUUAUGCUCUUUUAACGUUGAUUUAAAUUUAACUGGCUUUUAUGCAAAAAGGAUCAAGCUGUUUUAAAUUAGAUGGACUUUGAGAUAAAAAAUAUGUAUCCAGAUCGGAUUUACUUUUACAGUAAAGCGGUAUUCAUCCUUUCUAAAUAUAUCAUAAGGAGCAAAUAGUUAAGCGAUUGCUAAUGUUCUUUUUGUAUAAAUAUAAAUGUAUAAAUUACUAAAUAUUUAAAAUUAACUGAUCAAUUAAAUUCUUUAAUUAAAUAGUUAAAAUUGAGUUAAGCUUAAAUAAAACGACUAAUCUUUUAAGUAGAGAUUUGUGUAUUCAGAUUAUAUUUAAAAUUAUUUUUGUUUUAAAAUAGUAUCAUAUUAUUAGACUCUUUAGCCUAUUUUUCAGUAUUAAUAAAGAUACAUAUUUGUUUUGGAUAUUGCUCGAUAUUUUUUAUAUAUAAUAAAAUCCGUCCAAAUAUUUGUUCACGAAUUCAUUUGCCCUUUUAUUUACGAUUUUCAUUGUCCGUAUGUUGUUAACAUAACAGCUUAUUCUUUAUCAACGAUUUAAAUUUAUACAUGCUUGUUGCAAUAUCAGUAAUUAGAGAAUAUCAUGAAAUUUAUCGAAUUGCUGUUGUGAACGUUUGAUAUAAAGCGUGUUUUUAUCGAAUAUCACUAAAAUGCAUUAAGUAUUGAAUGAAGUAUUUCUGCGUUUGAUAAGGUAGAUAUUAUAUUUUUUAUCAUUCUUAAUGUUUAAAGACAAAUGAGUAUUGUCAUUGCAAAAGUGUGAAAAAUGAAAGACAAACCUGCAUAAAUAAAUUAAGCUAGAUAUCCGUUUACUGUCGCGAUAUAUAGCAAAGAUUAGGUCAAUAUCAAUAAAAUAUAUCGGCAAAUGUCAAUGAAAACGAAAUUUAAAAUGUAUAACUAACGCUUGAUUGAUUUUAGAUCAAAUGCAUUUAUCGUUUAUGCAUUAUAAUAUUUUCUAUUAAUUAGUUUCUAAAAUAAGUAAUCGUUUAUCUAAUUCGCGUAUCUGGUUUUACUUUACUUUUCUCUCUACGCGGAGGCGAAAUACAGUCGCCAAUAGGCGUUUUCUCGUUUCAAGAUUGAUCGUUGGCCUCUAACAUUGCCUCGUGUGACCGCAGGGGAUCUUCCUUUAAAUUUUCAACGUUUACGACGCGUCGAGUCAUCUUCGUGGGCGUGAACGAUCCUGAAAAUACGUUCUUGCGAGAUUGCGACCCCCGAGGAAAAUCUUCCGUUCUACCAGGUGAAAUCUCUGCGAGAGAGAAAAAUCUCUCUCGCCGGUAGUCCUGGCGCGCGCGUGGUCUUCGCGAAAGUUGAUCGGAUUGAGCAUUGUAACUGGAUAAGGGUGUCAGGUAUAUGUACAGCCUCUCUGUAGACGCGCGUACGAAGGCGAAGGACCUGUGGCCCUACAGCGUCUUCGCAAGCUGUGCCACGAUGCUUUCUCGCCGGCCAUUUUGCUUGAUCUCCAAACAAAUUUAAUUAAACCGGAGACGCGCGACGCGGUGCCAUGCUCGCGGAAAUUGAAAUUAGACGCGCGCGCGACUUGGCAUUCUUUUUUCUUUUUCUCUUACCCUUCUUUCUCUCCUCUCUCUCUCUCUCUCUCUCUCUCUCACUUUCUCUCUCUUCAAUUUUUUUAUGCCGCAAAGUACUUGUACAUCAUCUCAAGCUCGUCCCACUACAUCCCGCGGUGUUUUACGCGGUUUCAUCGCGCUUGUGAUCCUUCUUCAUACGCGUGUGGAUCGUGCAGUCGUUGCCGUUACUACGGCAACCUUAAUUGGAAAUUUCUUUGUGCGUGUCUACAAAGUUUAUGCGCAGUAAUAGCUUACGAAAGUAAUCACUUUUCAAGGUUACCACACACAUAUAUUCUCUUUUUCUUAUAUCUCUUCAAAGACGCAGAAUUUAUAUUUUACAUUCUUAACACAGGUAUUUCUUAAGUAGAUUAUUCAAUUUCUGUUUGAUAUACAAGUUUCAGUAUAAUCUGUUUUCAUCGUUGAUUUCUCAAACACAAAAACAAUUAUUUUGACAUGUACUUUAUGUAUUUAUUUUUUUCCCGUAAUCCAAUUUAAGUUUUGUUUCAAAAUUAAUUAACUACAAGUAGCAUAAAUCCGACGUUAAACCUAUGUUACAAAUUGCAAUUCUUAAUUGCUUAUGUUUUUUUUUAGUUACGCGUUUAAUUAUGUUAACAUGAUGCUAACAGAAAUUGUAGUUAGAGUAAACUGGGUCUCAUAAGCCGCUAAAUUCGCUGGGAUGUUUAAUACACGAGGGAUUAAGGAUUACUCGGUAUCAGUUAUAUAUAUGUUACCGUUGAUUACGAUACCUAGACAACAGCAGCGAACACGAUUAAAGAUUUACGGUUAACGAUUUAAAAAAAAAAAAACAGUUACAUUUGAAUCUCACUUUUUGUUAUCGCGUUUGCGCAAUAAUGCAUUUUUCCCAAUUGCAUAAUGUGUUUUAUCGCACAUGCAAUAAUAAAUCAAAUGGACAUUAGCUAAAGCAAUGGUGCACUAAUUGUAAGUUAUUACUAAAUUGCUCGAAAGAUUUCGAAUGAAACGUCCUUGGCACAAAUUGUUCGUGUGAGCGAGUUAGCGUCUGAGAGACGUUGCAUUUGCCUUCAACUUCGAACGAGGGAAACAGGUUAAAUCUCAAUCGAAGUCUCGAACAACGUCGUUUGUGGAGCGGCGGGCCGCGGUGAAAGCGUUACCUAUAUCGAGUGUAAUUCACCUCGGAGGGUCUCGGUGUGCAUAAAGUUGUACUGAUCGCGCGAGGAUAGGAGAGAAUCGACUGCGAGUUGAAACCACCGUUUGAGAGGCCCUUUAAUUGCAACACAGGGAGGGAACUUCUCCCACGAAACUUUGGGCAUUCGAGGCCCGCAAAAUGUUGCGACACGGAGCGAAUCGUAAAUACCGCUGGAGUACGGAAUGUAUCGCGACGGGCGAUGGCCGAUCUCUUAACCUCCUCUCGGAAGAACUUCCUUAGAAGACUCUCUAAAGUGGCAAAUAGAUUCGUGAGUUUGCAACGAUCUCGCGGAUUAACUUCCCACUCUCCUUCUUGUCGCAGCGGGUCACCCGCGGGCUAUUCUAUGUUUCAUUUCGCCGUGUUUCAAAUAUAACUGAAGUUUUAUGAUCAUUUCAAUUGACGUAGUUCAUACUCGUUUGAUUUCAUUUCGCGAAUUCUCGGCGCAGCUUAUUUCAGCCGCGAAUUCCGUUUGGCUUCCGUUUAAUACGAUAAAUCUCAUCGGAAUUUAUUUCGUGGACAUGUCGCUUUUGAACGAAGCGUCAAUAUAUGCAUUGUUUCGUAAAUUUAAACUCUUUUUUAAAUCACAAACUGGACGAGGUAAUCCUUAUAAAUUUUGUGCUGCUGAAAAUAAAUCUGUAAAUAAAAUUGCUCUAUCAGGUCACAUCUUUUAGCUUAAAUUAACCCAGAAAUACUCAAACAUGCCAUUUCUGACACUUUUAAAUCCAAUUUUUUAAAAAUGUAAUGAGAACAUGACAGUAAUUUCACUUGUGGCUACGUUUUCAGUGAAAAUCUAUUAGAAUCUCCUCAUCUGAUUCGUAGUCUAAAAUCCGUAUCGACUAAUGAUAUUAAUCUAUUUUAUCUUGAUAAGUUGAAAAGUUCUAUAUGUCUUUUGUUUAUUUUGGAAAAAAAUAAAUUAUAAUGAGAUUUUCUCUCAUCUUUUAUGCACAACAACAAAAAGUGUGUCGGGCAAAAUUUCAGUUGUUAUUUGAGAUUGCGCUGCUUUCAAAAUUCCAUUUUAUUUUAUAAAUUAAAGUGUACGUUUAAUUCUGACAAGAAACUUUAAAAAUAUAUCUACGAAUAUUUUAUAAUUUGAAAUUUUUAUUUUAUUUUAAUGUUGACAUGUUUUGUGAAAGAUAAUAUUUAUAAUUAUAUUUCAUUAUUUGUAUAUAUUUUUAAAAUGUUGAUAUACUUUUAAUAUGUAUUAUACUUACAUUUGAUUAAUUACGAACAGAUUAUUUUGUACUGAACGGAAAAAAACCGGCGUAAACGGAAUGUGACAAAAGACAAACGAGGAUAGUGAACUUGCCAUGAAAGAAAUAGUAAUUUACUUAGUCUCGAUGAGUCUAUAGACAUUAUGCAUUAUCCACAGCGUAUCAGCAGUAUUAGAGCUAUAGACCGAUAGACUGUCAAGAUGAGUUUAUUAAAGCGACUCCCGCGCGUAGACUUCUACUACAAUUUAUCCCAGUCUUCUUUAUGGAAAGCGUAAUUAUGUGAUGAGUAAUAGGAACUUGUGUUCUCAAGACACAUUUCAUUGCUUAAUAUUUACGUAGUCCACGAUGCAGAGAUAUAUUGGGAAACUAAGGCGAAUACUUUGUCUACAUUACAUGUUUUAAAGCGUCAUUAGUUUUAUGCAAUUUAUACGCAUACGAUUUAUAAUAUACGAUUUAUGAAAAGCGUGAAAAAAAGGUUGAUCAUUACGAUUUUCCAUCUCUUUCUUAUAUUUUAUUUUCUUCAAGCAUUUUUUAUGUAAAUGUUACAACUUAUCCCUGUUACUUUUAACCCCAAUCUCUCCUGCAUGCAUAAAUAGAGAGCUCACAAUUAGAAUCUGUUAUUUAAUUCAUAGUAAUCCGGGUCGAGAAGAAUCUGUGUCACUUUAAAGAUUAAGACUGUUAGAUUGAAGAAUUUCAAUACGUAACAUUUUCGAUAAUAAUUUUUUGUUAAGAUUAACUUCUUUGACUAGCACAAUUAGUUUUUACUUUUAUAUUUUUUUUUGCUGUUUUUUGCAAAAAAUAGAUUAGAGCUAUAUACAUCAGUAUGUGUAGUUUAAUUGUGUAAAGGGAAUUAUAAUUCUAAAAAUGUAUAUGAAAUGUAACUUUAAUUAACAAAAUGGACAGACAAUGCCAGCUUGAGCUUUGAACAUAAGAUAAAGGUGGAUAAUAUAAAGUAACCUGUUUUUAAUCUUCUAUUGUUCUUGUAUGAGGCGAAUGUUCACUUUGCCUUUGAUUUAUUUAAUUACAUAAAUAGUAUAAGUUGACUCUGGAACUCUUUUUACUUACAACCUUUUAAAGUAUAUUUGUAUUGUUGUUUUUCUCAAUUUUAUUUAGUACAUUACAAUUUUUGUUAGACUAAAAGUGUUAACGUGUGAUAUAUCAGAGCGCAAUGUUCAUGGCGAGAGCAAAUACGUACAGUCGACGUGACUCGUGCUGUUGCCUAACUUUACUGAUUUACUGUGAUAGAUCGACGAACUGGUCGAUGUCUCAUCCUUUUGCUUUUACAAGACUGUGUUGACGCAACACAGACCGUGUUUACUCUGUUUUUAUUUCUUUUAUUAAUUUCCUUUUUUCUCUCAACGAUCAUCUUCAUGUGAUCUGAGAAAACUACAUACGUGUCGCACUAAUAUAGUGGCACACAUAUAGGCAUGCCACGGCGUUUAUAUGAGAGCAAUGGAGGCUUAAAUUAACAAUCCUCUUAUAUAUAAAUGUGUAUAUUAAAACUUUUAAUUUAUGUAGAGAGCUUUUGAAAAACGUGCUAAUUAUAACAUUUAAUUAAAUGAAAGUCGCUAAAAUUUAAAUUUACUUUAGUAUUAAUCGAAAAAGUAAAAAGUGAAAAAGGAAAGGGACUAAAAAAGUGGGAUAUGAUAUGAAAUACGGGUAAAAUUUCAAGAACAGUAAUAAAUGACACAAUAAAUAAAAUGUAUACUUGUUUAUUUAUGUAAACUGAUUAAAAUACAAUUAAACAGUAUAUUUUUUUACUGUUUAAUGCUACAUAUCAAAUAAAAUAAUAUUACACAUGGAUAAUAAAAACAUAAAAUUAAAUUUUAUGUUAUUAUUAAAAUACAAAUAAAAAUUAUUAAAAUAAAUUUUAUUGUCUAAAAUAAAUAUUAUGUGUAACAAGAAUAAAAAAAACGUUUACAUUUUGUACUUGAGUAAUCUAAAAUGAGUUUUAUAUAAUAUAACAAUCAUUGCACAUGAAAAUAAAUUUUUGAAAAAUUUUGAGAUAUAAUUGUAUUUUUUAUAAAAAAAAACAUUGUAAAAUAUAAACAUUAACAUAUUCUAGAUUUUCUACUCUUGAAGUAUUUUAUAUUAUCUUGAUGUAACGAAGUUUUCCCGUGUCAACAAAUAAAUUAAGAAUCACAAUUAAACAAGAUAACAUUAUUUACAUAACGUUAUUGACCGCAUCUAUGGAAUAUAAACAUUAAAAAAUUUACGGUGGGCUUGUGGAAAAACAGUUAAAUCAAUGCAAUAUUUCUAGCAGCAAUAAAAAUAAAUAAGUACUUAUAUUGAAGAAAAUCGUUGCACAAAGUUUGUUAUUUAUAGUACGUUUUGCAAUAACUGCAAUAACUUCUAAUGAUUGCCACUGAAUACAGUGUUUUUUAUAAUAAAAAAUAAUAUUCCGUAUUAUCUGUCUUUAUCCUAAUUAAAAGCGAUAUGGAACGUAGUAUAUGAUGUACUACAAAUACAAAAAUUGUAUAAAAUAACAUUGAGAGAAAUAAUUUGUUACCAUAGCAGAUUUUAUGCUGCUGUAGCAAAAUUUGUUAGUUAUUAUGUAAAGAAAGCAAAGAGAUUAAUUAAGAGUACUUGUUGAUAUUUGCUAGCUAUAAGUUUGCUAAAACUACAAAUUAUUCUGCUGUAUGAACAAAUUUAUUUUUGAAGGAGCAAAAAGAGAAAGAGAGGAGCAGUAGUAUGAACAGUAUUAUUUUUGCUCUGAUAAAAAAGUAUUUGCUAAGAAUAUAUUAUUUUGUUUUAACAACAAAUUAACCUAACUUAACUAAAACAAAUGUACUUGUAAUUAGCAAUUUUUUUUCUAUUUUAGCAACGAAACAAAUUCUGCCCUACUAACGAAUAAUUUCUAAAGUUAGUUGUCUACUAAAUUUGAUCGUUGCCACUACAAAUUUGCAACAACAAAAACAAUUUUGCUACAAUAGCAAAAUUAUUUGUCUUCGUGAAGCUGUAUUUCAGCUUUAUAAAAGCCUUACUGAAUAGGUUUGUGACACAUAAAUGUAAAAAUUUAAAUAAAGUCAUUUCUCUAACAUAUAAAUAUUAAAAGAAUAGCUUUAUUUAAAUUUUAAUCGAUUAAGCAAUGAAUCAAUAUAUUAUAAAUGUAACAAAUUAUAGUUAAAAAAAAAUUGCAUGUAUAUGCGACUGUGCUCGGCCGUAAAGAAAUAAUAAAUCUCUUUGUAUCAUAAUUCAAAUCUGAAAGAACUGAGUGAUUAAAAACGUAAAAUGCAGUCGUAGUGAAGCGCAACGAAGGUGAAGUUUUGUAUAAACGCGGAGCCAUUUGGCCGAUCUCGAUGGGUAAAAUUUAGUGCCUUCGCGAACGAACAGGAUAGAUCGAUAGCUGUCGAGUUGGCUUUAUUAAGUCCUCGCCCAGCUUCGCCCUACGGCCGCGGUGCAAAAACCUUCGCGUACUGCCAGAGAGGUGAGGUCGGCCGGUUGUUAAUCGAUAGGGUCGUGUGUGGUACACUUGCGUGACGACUCGAUAAUUAAUUGGCCCCGACUACAUGCCGGAUCGCGCGCGCAUUUUUGCGACCGUCGCAUAACGCAGCAAAGCUGCGUAACCAACGGUAUCAUUUUAUGUACCGUCGAUGGUGAUUUAUUGUAACAUUCGACUUUCGCGUGAAAUGGAUAUUUCGACGACAAGGAAUAAUUCAUUAAAAGCGCAACUGAUAGCUACGUCGAUGCGCUCUAGCGCCGGUAACGAGCCAGUGUGCAAUUUGUUUCGCUGGAAAAUACAACGGCGAAAGGGAUUACAUCCAGUCGCUGCGCGGAAAAAAGCACGUUCCUGCGAGGUCAAAAAAGGAGUCAAAAGAGAAUUUAUCUUCAGAAAUUGUACCACAUAGUACAUAUGUCAUGAAUGAGUAAUGCAUUAUGUGCAGUUGCUGAAAAAAUUUUCUAUCGACUUUUGGCGAUAUUGAAGAAAUUUCGUUACCGUUUUCGUACGAUUUUCAUGUUUCGUGUAUUAGGCAUCGAAAGAUUCUCACGCGUAAAUGUUGAAUUAGAUACACGUUCGAAAUAACGUUUUGUAAUAUCACAUUUGAGAUAUUUCGCAGAGUAUAUCGAAUGCCCACUUUCUUCGUGUCGUAAUGAUAAACUGCACGAAGUUAAAUCAUCGCGAUAACAAGCUCUGUUUAAGCAUAUAUAUCGUCUUAUGCUGCGCACGCGUUCGUGAAAUUUUUCUGUCGCUGUCGCGAGAUACAUUGCGGACAUAACGUGUCACGACGAAGCUACGUGGUCGUGAAAAUCUUUCGCGCUAGCGAGAUUGCGAUUCCACCGUCGAAAAAGCGUUCCCGCGCCAAGGAAUGUUGUCUUUAACACCGUCCCCCGAUGAUCCUCGCGUUCCUAUUUUUUACCUCCAGCAGCGAAAAAGAACGAAAAAUAUCGCGCGCCAGUUUAUUUGUCCGGCCCGGAUGGUCUUAUCGGGUUGUCGCUUUCUCAUUGUUAUCCUUGGGGGAUGAUGAUAGUUGCCUGCACGACUCAACUCGCCGUUUCUCUCGUUAUUCGAAGCCAUUUGUGCUGGAUAUUUUGUACAAUACAAUACGCCGUGGCUCUUUUUCUGAUUUGAAAUUCAGAAUAAUGCUUGCUCGGUUUAUCUUUCUCUCGCGAAAUAAAGUUUGAAUAUCGACACAAAGUGGCCGUGAAUAGCUUCGUAAUUACUAUGGUUGUUAUAUUAGCGUAUAUAACACGCAGAACGGCCGCGACUAUUGCACUUUCUCCCAGCUGACAUAAAAUUAAGUUAACGAAGGCUACGUCAAAGUGAUAAAAGUUAUUUGGCGCCAACAAAAUUAACCAACAAAUUAGGAAUUUCGUAAAUAAAUUGGAAAUAUGACAUCUUUUCUCAUUACCUGAUACAAUAUUUUUACCGUGGAACAAUUUUACUGUAUAAGUAGAUGUAUUUUCUUCUGCACAGAUUUUUUCUCUUAAUGCUUAAAUAUUAUUAAACUUCCGAUACGUUUUCAAAUACUUUUAUAAUAUCCACCGAUAAAAGAAAAUAUUAUUGAUCGAGGACGUGGAUAUAGCCAUAAUGCUUGACAUGGAUAUACAUAUGCGUAACGGAGAUAGCUUUGAAAGAAAAAAAUAUUAUUAGAAUGGCGUCGCCAUUGGGAGCUGAGAGCAGCAUUUGCCGUUUUGUUUCUAAGUAGCACUUACGAUACAAUGCAGCCAAAUGCAAUUCAAUUUGAUGCAUCAAAUGGUUCGAAACGCCAUUUUUAUUAUUAUCUUUCGAUUAAAAUUGCUACAACAAAAUUGCAUUUACAUUUCACCUUUUAUUUUUAAUUUUAACGGAAUACAAAUAAUGUUAUAAACUGCUUAAUAAAUAAUUGAGGACGAAGAAAUUUAAAUCGUAAUACAAAGUUCUCCUCCAAUUCGAGAUUUAUUGUUUUCUUAACAACGUCAAUAGCAGAUUUUAUUUAUUUAUUAAACGACAAUUCACAGACAAUGCACACAAAAACAAUUGUACAUGAACCUUCCAGAUUCUAUGUUUUAAAUUUUUGUCUGUAAAAUUACCACAUCUGCUAGCCACAGUCUAUAUUACGAGAAAAAUUUGUCUAUUUUGUGUUACAAAUAAAUUUUCAGCUGUAUUUUUAUUUGUCAAAAAUUAAUUAAAUCGAAUUUUUAAAACGUAUUUUUAAAACAUAUUUUUGAAACGAGCUAUUGGCACGCGCUAAUGCAUGGACAGCUCUGUAUGUAGUUCUAAUCCAGAUUUACUCCUGGUCAAUGUACCCGUUAACGUCGUUGGAUCAAUACGACGGCAUUCAAUGCUCAAUGCUAAUUAUAAUUGGUUUCAAUUCGCCUCGGGCGUGACAUUGAAUCGGUUCGUGCCGAAGACGCAAGUAUUCCCAGUGCUGCGACGUUAUUCGUGAACAAAUACCGGGAGGACGAGGCUUGGAUGCAUAUGACGAAAUGUACGCAGAGAGAAUGAAAAAAAAAGGUCUUUGCCCAACUUCUCUAGUUUCCGCGAUACGGUUUCUGAAUAUUUGAUCUACCCAUUUUAUUUAUUAUUUAUACGGGUUGUCGCAAGACGUUUUUUUUUCUAUCAUCCUAAGCAAUAAAUAUAAGUAGAUGGUAAUGCUGUUUUAAUAAUAAAUUAUACGCCAUAUUUUAAAUAUCACUUGCGCUACAUUGCUUAUGACAAUGUAAAUAAGAUAUUACGAUUAAUGAUAGAGCUAAUGAAUAUCUCUGAUACGAUAUCAUAAUAUAGCAAAGGCCAUACGUAUUUGCAUGUAACGAAUAAAUAGUAGAGGACAUCGCAUAUCCGUCAUUAAUGGUCGUUCGUCAUUAAUUAAUUCAAGUUACGGAAUCAUAAUGAAAUUUCUGCUACCGGAGAUAUGAUAUUACUCUAUAACGCGUAUAUCAUAUCUGAUAUGUACUUUUAAAUUACCUCCUUCUCGAACACACACGCGCACGAUAAUAUCUAUCAGGUAACGCGGAAGCAUGCAACGAAAAAUUUUUAUCGCGAUGAGAUGCACGGAUUUUCUUUUUAUUUCGGGAUGUAAGAACUUACGUUCGUGCUAAUGCAGAUAACAUCGACGGAUUUACACGUUGUUUGUGUACAUUGUUAGUUCUCAAACGAUGCGUUUGAGGACUCGUGGUUUGCGGAGAAACAAGAAAAGUUCUUGUUCCAAAGGUAAUUUCAAGAUUUUACAUCAUAAAUUCUUAAUUGAUUGUUAAUCCCGUGUUGAUUUAUUGCUGAACGCUGGUAGAGAGGCAUACGUAAGUUUCUGAAACAUUACAAAAUGAGACACGAAACUGAAAGCUUUGGGAACCUCUGAUGUAUUAUCGAUAAUCGAAGCAAACCGCGUAGAAGUAGUUGCGCGGUUUAUGCGAUAAGCCUUGUUCUCUUGUAUCUUCAUGAAAAUGAGGUUGAAGACAUCGAUCGAACGGAGGCAGGUGUUCCAACGAGAUUAGAAUUGAUCACAAUUAUAUGCAUUUAAGCCUGUUUGCAGGAAUAGAUCGCGUAUGUUAUCUACAUAGCUGCGCUAUCAAAAAAUUAUUCUACUAAAUAUAUUAGAAAAAGUAUGAUAAUUGUGGAAAAUAUUUGAUUGAUAUUCAUUUGCGCUUUAAAAAAAUUAAUAUUUACGUUAUGCUUUAUUAUUUAUUGUUGAUAUAGUAAAAUUCUGUGAAAAAUAGAGAGGGAUAUUAUUAUAUCGCAUGAAAUUACUGUUAAAUACUUCUAUUAUUUACGCAAUUUAACAUACCAAAAUUGUGUAAUAUUAAAUUUAGUCUAAAUUCUACGAGUAUUGUACAAAGUAAUUUAACUCGUUGCUUUUCUGUCUCUCACAUUACUGAAAUAUAUGAAGUUGUUCUAAACGGGUCCGAUUCUCUCCGGAAUCGAACAGUCUGCUGUAGAAGCAGAUUGUAAUUUCGAACAGUUGCUUUGAGAACGUUUAUUGCCGAAGCGCGAUACGUGACAUCCAAGUCUUGCCGUUCACGGUGACACUAUCUUUCGCACGAACACGCGUGAACUUUGCAUUGUGGUACGUCAUAAGGUGCCUAGCUACCGUAGCAGCAUCCUCGGGAUUCUGAGUAUGGGGCGGGGAAUCGAAGGAAAUUAGUUUGAAGUUCCACUUUCCAAACGGGGAAUCGGGCGUGCUAUCCCACAGCGACGCUCGUAAAGCGCGAAACGAAGUUUCUUACGACGGCGAUAGGAUAAAAGACUUCGGAAAAGCGAUACAGAGGCGCGGCGUAUUGCACGGCAGCAAUAUAUAGUUAAGCAACGUGGAUAGAAGUAGACUGUUCUUGGCGAAAGUUUUUCUCAAUCAGCCACGAUACUUUCUUCCGCCGCUAUUUCGUACGGCUUGCGAUCCCUAGAGACAAUUAAAUCGUUUUCAUGUGUGAUUUAUUUCUAUUGUUCUCGUAUAGGAGAGCACAUAAUAAAAUAAUACCUAGACGAUGACGAAUAAUAGAUAAAGCGCAAAACUUGUGAAUGUAAAUAAAUGAUUGGAAGAUUAUCAUUGGAUUGUGACAUUAAGUUUAUUAGAUUAAAGAUUAAUAGAAGAUUACAACAUUUUUAUUUGUAUUUAAGAAUUUAUUAUUAUCUCAUUAUUGCUACUUUUAUACUCGUGCCUACAUUAGAGCUUUUUCUUUUAUACAGAUGUAUGCAAAACAAUACAGCAAAAAUUCAUUUUCAGCAUUUUUUCGUUAGAUCUUUAAAAAAUUUAUUUCCUAAACUAAAUUUCUAAAUUAAUAAAUUGCUCUGAUGUAAUAACCUGUGCAAACAUUUGUUUGCUACAUUAUGCGAUCUUCUACAUAAUUCAGCAUCUUAUAAUAUUAUUAAACUACCUUGUAACCUGUCAACAAACUGAAGAUGUUCGCACAGGAAGCCGAUACGAUAUAGGCGAUCUGAAUAGAUGACUUAACUGGAUGACCUACACUAAGGAUCAUCAAGUUGAACCAUGUUCGGCAGAUCGCGGGUAUCCUUCCCUGAAUAUCGUGUCGCACUAUUCCGGAUGCCCAGGAUGCACAUACCAAUUAGCGAGAUAAUCUCGUUGUUUAGAUCGAUUAUAUAGCCGCCGGCGGAUCUAAGUGUUUCGUCAGACGAGUUGGUGAUUAACACUGAUUAAACAGAAACGAAUGCCUUACCAUCAGCAUCUUCCACUGAGAUUUAAUUUGUUCAUUGCAAAUCCAUUUAUAACAAAGUAACAUGUUUACUUUGUUUAUCUUUACGAGAUAAAUUUUAAACGUACGUUUGUUUAAAUAUUUAUAAUGAUAUAAUAACAUUUUAAUCGAUAAUAUAAUCAUUUCUGCGAUACAAAUUCGUAUUAAUAAAAUAUAAAAUUUGUAUUUUAGGAAUACAAUACAAAUGCAAUACAUAUUUAAUGUUUUAGUAGUAGAAUCACAGAGAAGAAUAAAAAAUAUUGAAACAUGCAACUCGAAAAAAUUAAAGCCUCUGAUAUAAGAUAUACAAUUAUUAGUUUCAAUAAUGUUAAUAUACGAUUAUUAGUUUCAGUAAUGCAAGUUGUUUAUUAUUAGUUUACUAGCAUCUGCAUAUUCAUUAACUCCAUUGCGAUUUUCUCGAUUAAUGUAAUUGAUAUAGAUAUUUGAUAAUAUAAGUACAUUAAUUUAGUGAAAUUAUUAAACAAUAAUAAUUGUAUAACAUAUCGAUUUAUAGAGAAAUUUAUUAUAUUUACGGUAUUUAAAAAAUGUAUUAACAUAAUUUCCAUAAUAGUUUACAAGAUAUAAUAUAAUUAUUAAAAAAGAAAACUUGAUAUAAUUAUUUAAAAAAUUACUUUUUAAAAAAAAUAAAAGACAUUAAACGCAUGCAUCAAUUAAAUGCGAGGCAAUUAUUGUACAAAAUUUAAAGUAUAUUUUAUUUUGAUAAUAUUUUUAGUUUUGAAUUACGAUUUAUUUUUUUGCAAAAACUUUUUGAAACAUAUACAGUUGUUCAUGAAUUUCUUAUAAAAAUAUAUUUUAAAAUAUUGCAUAUUUUUUUCAAAAAACUUGACUCACAAUUGUUACAGUAUAGAAAAAGAAUAAUGUAAAUAUAAUAUUUUUAAUAUUAAUACGUAACGAAAAAAAUGAAUUGACAAUAAUUUUUUUUCCGUGUGUAUACAGUUGCACAUAUUCUGUAAUAUUUUCUUUUUAUUUGGAAUAAAUACAUAGUUUUAUAAUAAAAUAGUGUUUUUUUUUUACAUUGAAACCACUUCUUUUUGUGAUAAACUAUGUUAGCACUUCUGUUUCUGUUUGACUCAUUGUACAAUAUCGUUACAUUUUUAUAAAUAAUAUUCAAUGUAAUGAAUAUGUCAUAAUUUUAAGCAUCUAUUAAAGAAUACAUCGUUUGAUGAAUAUAAUCGUUAAGUUUUUAAUUUAAAAUACGGAUUAUUAAUAAAAUUAUUAUAUAAAAUAUAAAUGAGUGGCUAUAAUACCACCUUUUCCUGUAUGUAUAAAUUUUAUUUUAUUUCCUUUGCUGCAGAUAAAUUUUAUUUCAUUUGGUGCAACUACACGAUAUUAUUACUUUUUUAGGAAAAAUAAAUUUAAACAAUAACAUAUUUCUCACGUUAUACUUUUGUUGAAAAAAUUAUUUUGUGCUUUUCAAUGUUUUUUUAAUUUGUACAGCGAAAACAUUUCUAUAACAUUUUCAAGUUACCCGUAUAGCUGUACUAUAACAUUUUUAAACUUUUUAGUGUAUUGAAAAAUAAUAUUAUUUUGUAUAGUUUUUCGCAUUUUAUAACUUCACUUCUAUUACACGCGCAAAAGAAUAUUUUAUUAUUCUCUUUUUCGCGUUUCUUAUUAAUCCAAACACUUCUUCCAUCGUAUAGUUGAUAUUUCUCGAGAUCUCAGUGGAUUGGAAAAUUGGACUAUUACUGUAUAGUCCCGAUGGUAUAAAAUCUGGUGCUCUUAUUUUUCCACAACUCCAAGAUCAAGAUAGAGAGCUUACAUAAGAUGGUAAGGUAGACACGAUACGAGUGCGAUACGUUAUUGUUUAAUAAAGGAAAAAUGUGCUUUAUCGAGCACACAAGAUUUUCAAUAGGUUACCGUAGGAAAUCAGAGCGGACAGCUUAUAAUGUUAUGUAAUAUAACGCGCAGAUCGAUUUUAAAUAAAUUCGAGUGCUCAUUAAAGAAACAUAACGGAAGCAAGAUGCAAUAAAUACCGUUCAUUAAUUCGCCGUUUCGUUUUAUCGAAGUAUUACAUUAUGUAUUACGUUGCAAUUUUUAACUGAAAAAUGUCAUUGUGAGUCAGAUAUAUUUAAUAUAAAAUUCUAUAUUUUUUUUUAUUGGACAGUGCAAAAUUAAAAGAAGGUGUCUCUCAGUUUUAAGAAUUCACCGAUAUUGGCACUAUCGGUGCGACAUAGUUUUAUAUAUAGCCGCGGCACGACUAUUUUAAUCCGAGGGGAGAAAAUCCUCGGCUACAUGCGGAAGCAUUACGUUAUCUCGAAGCAGCAGCGUGGUUGUUUCUGUGCAAGCGGCUCCAUAGAGUACUGUAUGCAGAUGCGACUAAAGGUGUAGCUAGGUAUUUCGUGGGUUCUCUGCGAUAUACGCGUGAAUUGUCGGUCGCGAAUCCGAUUUAUCGCAGCAGAAGCAACGUUGGUGCCGCUUUCAAGCGGCGCGGCGCGGCGCGGUGCGGUGCGGUAUGGCGCGGCGCCGCGCCGUUGAUUAAUACGAUUCUCACGAAGAGUCAGAGGAGGUGCAUCAAUCACGAAUACGUCGAAACGGUCGCUCCUAGUGAAGAAAUAUGCGGCUGCGCUAUCAUUCGCGCAUGGGUAUGUCGGAGUAUGGAGCACGUACCGCGUGUGUGGGAUGUCUUUAAAGUAAACGCGAACAAAGAGUCCCGCGAUCAGCUCGAAAAAAUUCCCGGCGCCUUUGGAAUAUGUCGAAUCGGGCUGGUCUCCUUUUACCUUUUCCCCCCCACUGAAUUUUAGGCGUGGAUUUCUUUUAGCGGCUGAUAUUUCGCGAGUAUUCCGUAUUACGGGGCUGCGCGUUCACGUCGCCGCGUCGCUUUUCAUGCAUAUGCAGAGGCACAUGCAUACAUGCAUCUAUGUAUGAGGGGAUAUACCCAUGCAUCUCUUGCGACGACCCAACGUUGAUGACGAGCUAUCUACCGUGCGAAAUUAUCGCAAGAAUAAUUCAAUCAAAAUAAAAUAAAUCGCGCCGCGGAAUUAUAUAUAACCAAUUGAUUCGCUGCUUUUUUUUUUUGUUUUCACCCCGAACGGAUACGGCUACUAUUUGAUUGUAUACUCCAGUUUCCGAGUGUAUUGUAUAUUUUUUUGAUGAAAUUGUUCGUUUUUGGAAGAAUGUAACAGGUGUUGUCGAAGCAGUCGUUCUUUCGACCUUUCGUUCUGAGAAACGAGACGAGAGUGUACUCGCUCAUGAUUAGAACUGUGAAUAAACGGAAAAUGGGGUCCGUCGGAUCAUAAAUCUAAAUGGCGAUAACUAUUUUUUACGGUUAACAACGAAUACAUAUAUCUUCCCUUCUCAGACGCGUUUUCAUGUAACAUUACUAUAUAUAACUUUAUGGAUGGAGGGGGGAAGGGGAUGUGUGAUAAAUGUCGACAUCUCUCUCUCUCUCUCUCUCUCUCUCUCUCUCUCUGAUUUUUAAGUGAGCUGCGUUCAUUUAAUGUGAUAUUCAAAAAUAUAAUUUUAAUCUCAAUUAAACAAAAUAAAAUGUCCAUGUUUUUUUAUUGUUUUGAAAAGAAUUUUUUACAAUAGAAACAAUAUGCAUUGAAGAAUUGCAAUAGAGCUUUUAUCAAAUAAUGCAUCAGUUAAGAUAUAAGACUAAAGAAAUACUAUAAAAUAAUUAAAAUACUCAAAUCAAAUUUUUGGAGUACACAACCCGUUAUCGUAAAAAACUCGAGUGUCAAUGAUCGAUGAAAUAAGCUAUCGUGCCGUCGGAUUGGUCUCACGCACAGUCGGUUUAGCGCACCAGUGCAGCUACUAAAAGUCUCCAUUUUUCACUUUUACCACAUACAUACGUUCGAGAAACAUCGUCAACUAGAGUGGAGGUGUGCUCGCUGUUAUUCCUCGGCGAUAUUCCCGGCACGUGAGGGACGGCGGAGUGCCUUAUUUUUACGCCUGCGGUCCUACGUGCGCCUGGCUCAGGGUUGAGUCUUACCACUCGGUCGAAUACGUUUAUUCGCUCGGUACGUAUCUUGGGUGACAAUAAAAGCCAAUGGGCGACGUUGUUAGAGCAUUGGGCAGGUCCGCAGUGUUAGGAAUGUAGGUAGUAGUAGAAGCUGGGGCAUCGCUUUACGAACGUGGGUUAUUACGGUUAUGCGAAUGCAUCUAUAAAAUGCAGCGCACCUGAUGACGGUAAAACGGAAAUAUAGAGAUUUCUUCCGGUCGAUUACUGAUAACGGGUGAUAUAUUCCUGAUACCGCAUCACUGAUUGCUUUGACAAAGCAGGAACCACGUACGAAAAAUAUCAUGCAUAAAUCUAGGUAGGCAAGAAGGAUUUCGCUUGAAAAUAUUUCUUUUGAGAUAUGUCCGUAAUCGUAUUAUACGUAGAAGAUUAAUGGUUUUGACAUAUCUUUAAGUCGUAUAUGGCAAGAAACAAUUCUUUUUAGCUUAAUAGCAUCAUUUAUACAUGACCAAAGUCGCCCGCUAACGUAGCACUAAAAAGAAUUUAUAAGACAAGUAGGCAAUAAAUUGUCACUUUUGUAUGAAAUAUAUUGUAUCUUUUAUAAUUCUAUUCUCUUACAUUCAGAAGAUGUGAUAAGAAGAGAUUUAUCGAGCUUUAAUCUUAAUAAUAAUUAUGCAGGUUUAUAUCUCGACAUUAUUUUCUCAAAUAAUAUUAUCAUUGCUAUUUUACUUCAUGAAAUUUGUACUUUUUCCUACAUUUUUGAAUUUUAUGCAUGAAGGCAGUUUAUAUCUAUCUCGCAAGUAGCAUACUAAUUAAUGUAAUGGAUCCUUUGAUGCGUCCAUUACCAGAUUAGUUGCUCAUGGUGUUUCUUAAGAGCUGCAUUAGGAAAAGAGCAAUAAGUUUGAUAUUUAUGCCUUUGCAUAGCAUUUUACAUUCAAGUGCAUAAAAGUGUAAAUUUUCAUAUCGGCUUUCAUCACAUCUCGCUUCCCUUGAUAUGUAAAAUUGACGUAGGAAAAGGGUUUUUAUUUUAUUCGUAGUUUAACUAUUAUUUACUGACAUAUCGUACAAGACACACGCGUACGUAUUUCUUUUCGAGUGUAAUGUGACGUAACGCGCAUGACGUAAUAUCUGCAUCACUAUAAUACACUUUUCAGUUAUUGCGAAUAUGUUGUAUAUCUAUACAUGCGCUUGCUUCUCCUUCUUUGAAUGAUACUUCGUAAAACGAGUUAGAACGCAACACUACGAAUUUCUCUUCUUGAGUGAAUUCAGGAGCGCAAUAUUCUACAGUUAUAAAAGAAAAUAUUUCGCAGAACCACGGCGGAGCAUCAUCCGUCUAAAAUUAAAUUCAGAAUUACAUUAAAUAUAUAUAUAUAUAUAUAUUUUUUUUUUGCGAACGAAAGAAAUAUAAAUUUCAUUAGAAUUUAUUCAUGAGUGUCGUACUGGGAGAUACUGCCUAUACGUAGUUCUUUUUACACUCAAUUUACAUUUUGCAUCCUAUUACACACACUAUACAUUAUGUAUGAAAUAUUACAUUUUGUUGCGAGCAAUAUUUAUAUUCCAUUAAUCGCAAAUAUACGUUAUAUUUUUACCUCGUAAUAAAACGCAGAGAUAAAUCUAUAAAUUUUUAUGCAUUUAUAAAUUUUUAUUGAAUGAGGAUACGAACGCUCUUAAAUUUUUCUUAUCGAAACUGCUUAACUAUACUGGCGGGGUACAAAUAUAUCUUAUCGCACACAAUUACGCAAAUAUGAGCGUGGUACAAGAUUACUGUUGUUUAGAAACGAAAAAUCAAUCAUUGGAUCAAUCAUUGUAUUAUUGAGAGUACCCCCCUCCUCCUUCCUUUUAAGCGAAAUCAAUAAAAGACAGUGAAUAAUCACUAAUGAUCACAGUAAAUAAAUACUUUUAUCAAAAAAUUAUUUUUAAUGUAAAUUAUUAAAAAUUUUAUAAUCGAUUGAUAUUAUAAAACAUUAAUUAAAUGUUUAAUACAUUUUUUAUAAAAAUAAAAUAAUUAAACUUCCCAGGUGUAGAUCACAUUUGACCAGUGUAGUUCAAAAUUAAUUACGCAGUCUUUAAUCUUCAGUGAAUACACGAACGGUACGAUUGGUAACUUGAAAUGUGGGCUUUUUGUAACAAAUCGUGUGUUUCGACGCAUAUUGUGCGGUUUCAGAGAAAUGGCUCGGUCGGGAUCUGCACGAUCAGAUCAGUGUCGUGGUCGCAACGUCAUUGUUGCUACGAGGACGAAGAGACGCAUUCCGGUACGCGUACCAGAAACGGAAGUUUUCGCGUGUUUGUUAACCAAGAAUCCCGCAAACGCAUCGGACACCGACAGGCUUUGGACGUUUAUUCGCGGCGCUUGCAUCGCGCGAUGGCCGAGGUCAACGUCGAGGGCGAAAAUCCGCGAUCAUACAAUCCGUGGUCGCGCAAUCCGAUCGGGAGUACAGUCUCUGUAUACCGCAUACCAAAGCGCUCUCGCUUGCGAUAUAGGCUUUCAUUCAAUACUUUAGAUCUCCCUUCUCUGUCGCGUUUUCUGUUAACGUUUAGGUCCUUUGCUUCGGUUACCUAUAGUGGAAACCCUAUCCACAAUAGCGAGAUUCAGAUGUGCGCUUUGUCCAUUCUCGUAAUAUGGUUCAUUGUACUAUUAUUCUUGCAUUCGUUGUCGCAUACAUUAUUCCAUGCUUGUGCUAUAUCUCUUCGAUAACGCAACUUCGAUCGCAAGCUGUGUUUUGUAGUUUCAUGCGCAUUCUUCCGUUAAAUUUAUCGACAGUAGUAAUACAGAAAAUAUUAAACAAUUAUUACUUUUUGAUUUUUGAAGUUUACCUUUAUUUAUUUAGAAUAUCUUACGCGGAAAUAAUUUAUAAAGCAAAAUAUAAUGACUGUUUUUUAUAUUAAUUUUAAUAUAUUAAUACUUUAAUAUAUUAAAAUUAAUAUAAAAUUAAUAUAUUAAUACUUUAAAGGUCUGAUAUGACCUCAUGGUUUUACAAGGAAUUUACAGCGACGGAGGAUAAUUUUAUUUAUCUUAUUUGUUUUGUAUAUUGAUUCGGUGAAAAAAAAUAAAAAGAAGUAUAUAAAAUUCGAUCUAACCCCACUUUCACGUAAAUAAUAAAAAUUUAUCUUACCGUUAGAGAAUUAAUUGAAGCAUGUUCAUCAGUUUGAGUGAACGAGUUACAUAGUUCCUCUGUUGAUAAAACAUUUCCUCGUACGCAUACGUACACGUUACGUAUGGUACAGAAACUUUUUGGUGAAUAUAAAUAUUUAAGACUUAAAUGUUUUUACCCUGACCAAAGUAAUAUUUUUCGCAUAAAUUCUUUACAAUUUUUGGGAUAAGAGAGAGAUCUGUAAAGAUGUUUAUAAGUAUCAAAAUUAUUAAAUUGAUUAGCAAUGAAUUUUCGUGAUAUUACAUUUUUGUUCGGCAAGUAUGCGGCGCGCAGUUUGAUAUAUCUUGUAAAUGUUUGUAAAUUUACUUGGAAAAUUAUUAUUGAGCAUUAAAAUCUGCUUUUGAUAAGUAUAGUUAGUCUCGUUAUUUAAAUAUGUUGAUAUACUUUCUGGUCUUUUAUUAUCAUAAUAUUUCAAUUAUAUUGAAUAUUUUUAGCAUUACUAAAUGACAUUUCGACUUAAAUAACAUUUUCAGUUUGUAUUUUUACAUAAAAAAAACUGUCGAGGCAAUGUGUUUAAUAACAGGAUGUAUACUUUGUAGAUUUAUAUCUCCACUAAUGAUACAAGAAUGAUAAUGCUACCGUGAACAUAUAGUAUGCUUUCGAUAAUGAGCAGAUAUUGAAUUGAAAUGCAAGCAGACGUAUAUCUACAAUAGUUACAUUUAUCUUUGUUGAUCGCUAUAAUCACCUUUUCUAUAAAUAUAUUUUUUUCUAUAAAUACAUAUAUCCAUGAUAUAUGUAUUUAUUACUAUUCAUUAUUCGUAUCUGUUACCAUUUAGCUGUGUAUUUUUUUAUACGUCGUAAUUUAGUUACAUAUUUUUUUAUGUUGAAUUUCUAAUGAUGUAUGAUUAUUGAUUUCUUAAUAAUUAUAGAUAAUAUGCAUGAUAUUAAUUUAUAUAUAAGAUUGACAGAUUUGACAUGAGUUUAGAUAUAUGGAUAUAAUAAAUACGUUAAUUUUCGAAAUCAUAUAGAUUGGAAAAUUUCGUUAAAAUUGAUGCAUAAUACAUAAAUUACAUUUACACCAUUAUAAAAACAUCUAUGAUGUUUUAAAUUUAUAUACUUUUGCAAUAAGUCCAUGUAUAAUAUAUCACAGUAGAACAAAAUUAUUCCGACAAUCCAAAGAGAGAAGGCUUUGUACAUCUCGUUAAAAAUACGCGCUUUGUACUAAAUCUCUUUUAUAGCGAUAAAUUGAAAUAGUAUCUGUGUUUAUACUACUUUUUACUGUGCCGCUGAUAUUCUACUUUUUUUUCUUGCUAUAUCCACGGAUCUCUCGGAUUUCAUCGGCGAUGGAGACGGAAGAAGUUGACAAAUGGUAGCGAUCGAAGUCACUUGUAAGGUCCAUUACGGCGCGAGACAAGUAUACACUGCGCUCCUUCUAAAAUCCGAAAACGUUUAUCGGCUAACGCUCAGUCUUCUCGUGUCUGCGCCAUCGAAUAUAUCCUCUAACUCCGAUUGCCCUUCGGUCCAAAUAAGAAAAUUAAAUUCAGUUCCGCGAGGCUUUUCCAUCUAAUUUUCCGCUCGACGAAUUUUUGGAUGGUGGAUUGAAAACGGUUAGUAGAAUUUAAAGACUGCCGUAUAUAUUAUCGAUCAAAUGUUAUAAAUAUACAACGUUGUUAUAAAAAUGUAAGUUUAAAUUUUAAAAUAUAUAUUGAGAUUAAUAUUUAUGAGCAAUGUGAUUUUUUAUCACGAGUACAAAAAUAAUGCAUUUUAAAAUUAAAAUUUUAGAAAAAUGUUUCUGAUUAAUGUGAUCCGUUUUUCGAUCUCUCUUAUGCAUGUGUAUUUCUUAUUGGUUGUCAAUAGACCGAACUUAGAGUUUGAAAAGACACUUUAUCAAAGAUCAACGUGCACCACUGCGUUUCUGCAAUUAUUCGUUUCGUUUGUCGUGGGUCAAGUACGGGGAGGACCGAACAAUUCCGGAAUCGGUAUUAAUCUUCUGCCGUCGAUUGGCUGUCCGCGACACUGCCGGGAUGCUCGCGGAUUUUUCAUUCUCCGACCUCCGCUCCUUUUGCACCGUCGCCUCGCCUCUAUUCGUUUUCUCGACAAAAAAAGGAAGGCGAUCGCUUUAGUCAAUAGCAGUCCCCGAUAAUUUAUUGUUUAUCGUCGAAUAAUUCCGCCGAAUAAUUCCCUCCGAUUCCUUGCGUGCUUGCCGUAAUUGCUAGUGAGAUUAAUCGUUUAGUCAAAUAUUGCUCUCUUUUCUCCGAAUGCCGACGCAUGACCCGUCUGAAGAGAAAUCGACAGCAUUGCAAACGUUCGUUUUCAAGUGUCCGCGUUGAUCGCUUGUGUAUACGCGGACAUGCAAUCGCGGAUUAAUGCGUCAAUUCAAUUUGUUUAUUAGCCACGUGUAGUAUGGAAUUUUCAUACAAUUUUACUUAAUCGGCUGAACGAUCACCAUGGGAUUACUAUACAUAAAACAGAAAAUAGCUCAUUGUUUUCAUGAAUUAUUACGCUAGCGAAUAAUUGAACAAGAACUGACGAGCCCGCAUUAAUCAGUUACAGAUUAAACGACUCAUAAAUAUAAUAUUUAACCAACGAGCGUGCGCAUUAUCGCUUUAAUUCAAUUUUCAGUCUAAUCUUAUCGACCUCUGAUUUCAUACGCGGAAAUUAUUUUGGUUUUGCGAGUUUUAUCGUCUCGCAUUACCGCACAUAUCGCGCAUGAAUAUUUGUUUCCACGCAGCGUGCGAUUAACGGAAGUGCAUUAGUAUGAAGUAUAGCAGGAGAUAUCAUAAAUUAAUACAGAUUAUUAAACAAAUAUUGCGAGAAAAACGCUAACGCAUCGUGAAAUAGAAUGCUGCUCAGAACUGCAAGCGGUGUAAAAAAAAAAAAGCUCGAAACAUCACUAAUCUUGCUGGAAAAAAUGAUAUUUUGAUACAAUGGUUUUCAUAUGACGCACAAUAAGAAUUUGAUACGUGAGUAUUAUGUUUCUUUUCGGCCGGACUGGUAGGUACGGCCGGUACAUAAAUACACCACAAAAUCCGUUGUAUUCGCGAACCGUAAGGAAUCACGUCCCUCCAUGAAUGCGUAAAGCGUCGGAUUCCGUCGCUUCGAAUUCUAUUUAUCGCAUCCAUUGAGAAUGUUUGCUCAUAGCGCAUGACGGCCGAAUUAAAGUCUAUAAAAUUUCAACUCGAAUAGGUUUCCGAAAUACUCGUCUACGCACGGACGGACGGUACGAAUCGAAACGUAUCCGUCCGCGCAACACAACGGCAUCCGUCCGGCAACGGGUGUUAUACGAAAUCACGGGCUCGUAAACGAAUCUGUCGCCGGUAGCACGACCGCCGAUUUUAUGGCAUCGUAUCCGAACUGUUCGACAAAAGCUGCGGGUGCCGCAAGUUACUCGAACUCUAUCUUCGGCCGGCUUUUGCCGCUCGCCGAGCGUAACGCUGUGCCAUUUUCGUUUUCACCCGUCACUCGCGUCCUCCCGCUUUCGGAAUCAUUGUACCGCCGAAUGCUAGUCUCGCGUAUCGCGCUAUAUAUACAUGCUACCUUGCAUUGUUAGUACGCGUUUUGUUCUAGUCGGCAAAGACAUUGUCAAAGGACGUAGUAUGUAGUAUUUCUGUAUUAAAACUAGAACGAUCGACCACCUCGCUAUGCGGCAAUUUCCCCAGAGUAUUAUACCCCAGGUCUUCAUUGAACGUUAUUACGCCUCGUCGUAUGUACCCGCUGCGUAUGUAUGUGUAUAUGUAUCUAUUAUAACUGUCAGUAGGAACACGUCACAUGGCACGUUCGUACAAUGAUGGCGUUUCCAGAUUUCGGUUCUAAAUCGAGUAACGUGGUGCAACUCGAAAUAGAUUAAAGUGACCGCGACCGAUAUUUUGUUACCCGAUAUCGGGUUCCGCUACGGCUAAAGCGCUAUACAUGCUCGAAAUUGUGCUGAAUUAGCUAUUGAUAGGAUACACAGGGUUACAUGUAAAUUCUGUAAAUAGCUUGUUACAGGUCGUCUGAUACCGUUUAGUUUAAUUAACAGCAUCUGUACAUUAAUGUGAAGCGGCAAUUAAUUUUGGGGAUCAGGGAUUAGCAUUGUAAGGACGCGGAAAUAGCAUCUCAUCUCAAUUAUAUUGCAAUGCAAAAUGACAAAUUGAAUUUGCGAUGUUAAUUUAACUGUUUUAGUUUAAAGUUCCUUUGUUAACUCGUAUUCAGAUAAUAUUGAAAUUUCAAAUUUAAUUUGUUUUAUUUUAUAUUGAUAAGUAUGUAACAUUCUUCUAAAUUGUAAUUGCCUGAAAAUUUCCAGAUGAUAUUUUCGAAUAUUUUCAAUUAAUAAAAAAAAAUAUUUAUUAAUUGAUUACAUUUUGUUAUAAUAAAAAGCACAACUCGCGACGUUUCUAUCUGUUUUCCUAAAAUAUUUUUCUAAAAAAAAGACCUUAAUACGCGAGAAAUAAAAUACGCGAGACAUCAAUAUCCUGAAAAAAUAAAAACGGCAUUGAUUUAUGUAAUGCAUUUUUUUAUCGCUUUAUCUUUCAAAGUCGUGCACGUGGGAUGAAGUAUUCACUUGAAUCCGAGCCUGAAAAUGCUAUACUAUGCACUCCACGAAUGCUCGAAAAUCGCGCUCAUGCAUAACGACCUAAACACCACCCGUGCAAUCCUCUUGAUUUACGAUUUUACCGAAACGACCGGUUGGGUACCAACCCAUAAAGUCACCGCUUUUACUUCCCUCUUUCGUGUCAACACGCGCGAACUGACGUUGAUAUGCAGAGCCCGAUAAGUCGCCAUGUAACCGCGCGUUUGUAUAUAAAGUUAUUAUCUUUAUCAAGAUUGCCAAUCGCGCAGCACUGGUAUACCUUAGUUAGCGCAAGACAUUGUGUCUUCAGAUAAUGAUUUCCUCUUUCUUCCGGUGGUUCCAAUGCAUCCAUUUUUAAUAUUUUCAUCUAUUGUUAAUAUUGAAAUUAAUAAUAGAUAAUUUAUCAAGAUUAAAUAUCUCUCUUUCUCUUUUUCUUUUCGUCUCCUCUCUUUCUCCUCCCUUCCUCCAAAAUUACUAAAGAAAAAAAUAAUAAAGAAAAUGAUUUAUAAUUUACAUGAAACUGUAACUAGUGAUUAAAUAUACGCUAUCGCGAUCAUUUGCGUUAUAGGCGUACAUUUCUUUGUGCCUAUCGCGUUAAAAUUAUCAUCGUAACAAGAAUUUUGAUACAAAUAUUUUGCAAUUUCGAAUUCUCAUGUCGUCAUCGUUUUGUCCCCAUCGAUUGUGUUAACGUCCAGUUUGACAUGAAAUCUCAUUGGUAAGUUUUCGUUAGAAAUGUCGAGCACGCACACGAGCACUACCCUCUCGCUCGCACGUCUCUUUUCCAAUUUUUUUCUUUUCUCACCUGUACCCCGAGGGGUAUUUUGCGAGCCCUCCAAGCAACGGUGUCAGUAUCACCAGGUUAGAUAACGCCGGUGCCAUCCUGAAUCCCAAGUACAAUAUCUCUUCUAUUCGCUUAAGGCGUCCUGUCCAAAGAUCAGCGGCUUUUCAGUCGCGUGAGCGAUAGAUCUCAUGCCUUUUAAAAUUCCAACCUCGACCACCAUCGGUAUCGUCCUAUCCCCUCCUCCUACUCCUCCUCCUCGAUUUCACGAGGACGCGUCGCGAAUCCUCCAGCAAGAACAUCAUCGUCGUACCUGUCCCAUAACAACAGUCCGGCUUGCAGUAAAAGCAGGAACGUCUUUAUUGCAUCGUGCAAAAAGCGACGUUACAUUUGACCACUUAAUGAAAUUGGUUCAAUGGUUAACUCAAAUAAAAUGAAGAAGAUGUACAAUAGAGAUACGACAGUUGAAACUAAAGUUUCGCUACUUUGGUGAAGAGCAAUCUGAAGUCUCAAUGCUGUCGCGCAUAAUCUUAAAAGUAUUUUAAUUAACGACUGACUAGGGAUAUUAAAAUUAUGCAUAAUAUCAUAAGAAGUAUACUUUUAUUGCAAGAAUCGUUUAAUGCUGUUUUUUCAUGGAAACUUUAAGGUUAUUCAGAUAAUUAUAUUCAAAUAUUAUAUUCACAUAAUUAUUAAUUGCAAAAUUUUACAAGAACAAGUUUAAUUGGUUAAUGUGACACAAUAUAUAUUAUUUUUAUUAAAUCUUGUAUCUAAGUUAUGAAAUCUUUUGAAAAUUAUUGAUUUAAAAAUAUUUUUCUUAAGAUAAUUUUAAAACCGUUUAAAAUUAUGUCAUUUUUGAAUUAAAAAAGAAACAUUAUUUGCUUGCUUUUUAAGAUAAAAAAAGCUGUGUGUGCUGUACGUUUGAUUAGAUUAAAAACUCUGAUUUUUCUCAUAUUUCUUUAAGGAGCCAGAUUUAUAGUUAACCAAGCAAAAUUUUUUACCGUAUAAUUUUUAGCGACGCGUUUACAAUGAUGCUUUAUGUUUUCCGCACUGAUUGUAAUUUUCUUUUUUGCGGGAAUUAAAAUCUUCCGUUUGGAGAGUGGAGACACGUAGAUAUUCUCGUUGCAAUGUACUAUACUCAGGGGGCACGAGUAGAAAUAUAAUAUCCUGGAGAAUUGUGUCUCAUUUAUUGCGUUUCUAAUUUUCGUCGUUGUCUUUUUUGUGUUACGCUUGCAACGGUAUUAUACGCCCCAGCAGCGUUAUUUUUAUCAACGAUCCAGUACCAUACCUUGCGACUAUUAUUUUUUUCCUUACCAAAAUAACAGGGAAAUAGCGCUAGAGUAAAAAAUCAAGAACAGCACGAAUUUUGUAUUCUUAUUUAUCAUUUGCAUUAUUUUUAUUCUGUGAUAUUCUGCGCGUAGAAAUACACAAUUAAUCGACGUAUUUUUCGCAAAGUUUAAUUAAGUUUCAAUAAUACAUCGAAGUUUCACAUUUACCGCAACUGCUUUUUGCAUUUUUCAAAAUUUUUUCCAAAUAUACAUACGUUUAUGAUUUACGCAUGUUAUUACAUCAUCUCUAUUUUCUGCAAAUUUCAUCGCAGAAAUAUCGAGAAAAUACUGAAAAUAUCAAUCAAAAAUUAAUUUUAACUUUUUUACAUAACAGAGUGAGGGAAGAAUAAAACUAAUGCAGCAAUUUUCAAAUUUGCUUAAAUCAAUUAUUUCGAAAUAAUUCAAUUAGAGUGAAAUAAACUCGUGUACCCAUUUGAUCUGUUCUUGUAUCCAUUUGAUACUUAUAUCGUUUAUCCUUUCUCACUUUCCAUAUGCGGCAAAGUUUGGUGAGGUUUAUGCAAAUAUGUGAAACUGCAACGCGAGCGAAAUUCUCCCAGAUUAUGCGGACGUUCUUGCUGAGGCAGGUACAUGUUUACAAGAAGCCGACGAAGAUCGCAUGAGUUUGGCCCGAAUGCGCGAUGUAUCUUCUCAUGGAAGCGAAUAUCUCCCUUUUUUCCUCUUUUGUCGUUCGAUCUGCAUCUCCAUCCGUCAUCGUUUCACACUGACGUGAAUUUUGAAAGAGCUCCCAGCGCGUAGCUCUCGUAGGGAAAAGCAUGACUUUAGAGCAGAUAGAUCUCGGUAGCGAGAUAGUAAUAAAUGACACUCGUAAGGAAGAUGUAUUACAAUGCAGAUUAUAUUACCUUAUGGUGUACCCUAAAGCUUUAUAAUGCACAACGCAAGUGUGCAUAAUAAAAGUGAGUUGUAUACUCCAAGAUCGUAAAUCUAGUUACACAUACGAGAUGAUUAAAAAAUUAUGCAUACUACAUGCUUUCUUUACACGCGUGGUUAAGAAACACUACGCGAACGGAGUGUGUAUUUUUUUAUUCAUUGGCUCAUAUCCUGUGAUCGUCGAUGAAAUAAUUUCUGUCUCCCUCUUCAUACAUAUCGCGGAGGCUGGCUGCUUUGCAAGAUUGACUUGUGGGCCGAAGCUUGUCACGUAGCUUGAAGUUCAGAGAGAUAGUCUCUCAGAUGGUAGCAAGUGAAGGCUCAAAGAUACGGAUUAAUUGUCAGUAAUGUUUGCGACUGAACCGAACGCUAGCGUGGUAAAUGUUUGCGGUGCGCCAGCGGUACAAGGAUCUCCCGUAGUCUGACCACUGACUGUUUUCAGAAACGUCCGCUUUACCCGGGAGUGGAAAUGCACGCUGUAACUAUUUGGCCAGACCGACGGUCAAACUUCCGGCUGCGAAAUUCGACAAAUAUCCAACGGGUACUGUUUACUGCUUAGGAAGUGAGACGCAGAACUUUCGUACGACGGUGAUAUUGGCAACGCGUUAAACAAGCAAGGUGUUGCUCGCUGCAGAUCUGGUAGAGAUUGUGAAUAGAAAUUACUGAAAUGUGUCGAGAUAUUUGGACGUUCAAUUUGUAAUUCUAUACAUAUUAUAUGAGCCGCAUUUGCUUCACUUUUUUCCAAUACUUUUUCGAUUAUUUUCAUCUCCGAAGUCUAGUUUUUUUUUCAUGCAGUCUACUUUGAAAUUUAAUGAAGACAGACAUUCGGUAAAUUUAUUUUAUUGAAUUUAUUGACAAUGUAUAAUUUCUGGCUGAAUAUUUUUCAAAGGUCAACAUUUUUAAUGAAACUUUUAGACAUGCACAAAUAAUCAAGUUAAAUCAUUUAAACAUAAAAGUGAGAAAAAUUAUAUCGGUUUGCAGCGGUUCUUAGUGUCGAAUAAUAAUUUUUUAAAUCUCCAGCGAACUGCGCGUCGCAUAUUAAAUUGAUACGUAAUAUCACAAAUUAAAUUGACGCGCAAUUUAAUAAAUUAAUGCAAUAAAUUCUUUACAAUUUUUUGGGGAAGGAGAGAGGAACUCUUAUAGAUACUUUAAUACUAUUAAAUUGCUCGUAAAUUUAUCAUAAAUUGUAAUAUUACGUAUUUCCAGCUUCAUGCAAUAACUGUGUUUCAAGUCCGACGAAUAUGCGAUGCGCAAAAUUAUUAUUAGACCUUUCAAUUUUAUGUUCGACUUAUCAUUGUUUCAAGUUUACUUUAUUGUUAAACUAUUAUUUAAUUACUAUCAGCUAGUUCAUUGUUUCAUUGUUUCAAACGUUCCAUAAUUUGCAAUAAAUGCAAGUAUAAACGGUGUAUAUUUACAACUAAUUCUAAUUACUAUCGUCUUGAAAUAAACAGCUUCUCUCGACACUGAAAACGCCCGUCGAAGUCAAAAUAUCAUUUUCGCGAUACGGUCUCAAGAAGGGUCUUAAUGUCGCGAAGCUGAGUCAUAUAUUACAAGCAACUUAACGCACGAAAAGCAGCUUCCUUGCACCAGCGGCGGCGCGCACCGGCGCUUUUAUUAAAACGGGGAAAGACACGUUUGCUGCUCUGGUGAAUCGUUUACCCGUUUGAGAGAUUACUUUCGAAAGAAACGGAGGCGCCCACUCACGAUGAUUUGCCGUCUGGAGUAGUUCUCUCUGCGUUCGUGCAAGGCAUCCCAUUUUGCCGCUGUAAAAUUAGAUUUUCGAAUUGCCGCUGUGUGCAACAUCAUAGCCGUUGUUAUAUGCAUUUUUGCCGUGACGGAUGGCCAAGUAUAACGAAGUGAAAGGACGUUUAUCGGCGGUGUAGCUACCGGUCACACCGCUGUAAUUAUCCACCCCUUGUGCACAUGGCGGAACCCAGCUCUAUCGAUUUUCUAGAUAUGAUAAAGCAAAUUGUAUCGAGGUCAGGCAUUUCUUUACGAAAAUUGUACGUUUCGCCGAAACACACGUGUUCUAUUCUCUUAACCGAGUUAUUGAAGAAUUCAUUUUGAACGCGAUAUAAAAGUAUAAAAGUAUAUAGUAUAUUUAUGUCCGUACGAAUACGCGCACACAUACAUACGUGCAAAGUGUGGAUUCAAAUAAAGUUUAAGAUGAAAUUAUUUUAGCAAAAUAUUUAUUCUAGCAAAAUAUGUAUGUGAUUUUUUUAUGUUUAUUUAGUUUUCAGUAUGCUUACACUUUUUACUUGUACUUUUUAAUAACUUAAAUUCAGAUACACACAUAUAGAAAUGCGUAUUUAUCUUAAUAUGUAUAUCCAUGUUUAUAAACAAAUAAGAAGUAACAUACAUAUAUGUAUAGCGAUAUGCAUAUAUAUGUUGUUAAAGCAGAUUGCAAAGAGCAUUUACUAUGAGUGUUCACAAGCAUCGUAAUAAUAAUUCAAAUAGAAUCGAGGAACAUAAGCUUUCGAAAUGGUUAUAAAAAUUAUUAUAGGUUCAUCUUAUAAAAUGAUAUAGAGAGGAAGAUAUAUGUAAACUCUUCGAAUGUUAUUAAAAUGACUUGUUUCCUUUUCUGUGUCUUUCUCUUUCACUUUUUUUCCUCUUUACGUGCUUUCGACUUUUAAUCUUUUGUAUGUCAGUGACACACACGCAUGCGCACACACGUACACACGACACUUCUCUCUCUGUUUUCGUGCUUUUAUGUCUGACAUCGUGCUACUUACUAAUUUAAUGUUAUCACAAUUCUUAUUUGAAGCCCACCUUUGACGAAGAAUGUCGGAUGUCAAAAUUUGAAAUUAGUUUAUAUGACAACCAGUGAUGAGAAGGAAAAGAAUGAAUUUUUUUCAUUUUUUUUUUAUAACGAAGAGUUUUAAAUCUGCUUUUACAUCUUGUAAUGCACAAUUCAGUUUAUACUAAUUUAAUGGAUAUCUCAUCUAAUAAUGGAAAAGAAAUUUGAUUAAAAAUUUAUUAAAAUUUUAUAUAUACUAUUUAAAUAAUCAGUAAAUAAAUAGCCAUCAGUUGCAUAGAUGAUAAGAGAAUCAAACGGAACAUACGGGUUUAAUGCGCUAAAGGGUUUACGUGUUUCGAGGAAAUAAAAUUUGCAUAAGCAUCGUUAACUUUACAUGCUUGCAGCGGGGAUUUGUAAAUCCCGGGUUUUAUCUUAGGGCAAUUUAGGGUGGUCAGAGACAGAGUAUUAUUUUCACGAAUUCGCACAACUAUUCACAAUGAGACAAAUUGUUAGAUAAGCUUUCUAGUAACCCAUAAUAUUCAUUUUCCUCGGUUUCGCUUGGCUGAAACUCUUUCGCGUCGGAGCGAGGAUUCGAGUCUUUGGACCUUUUCCAUUUUCCGGCAAAUCCCCGCGCCGAAGCGUGCAGCUGCAGGACGCCAUGGCUUACGUUUUCAACUUCUCCACCUUCCGUCUUUCUCCUUUUCCUCGUACGAUAUGUCAGUCGCAAAAUCUGUUUGUUUCCGCCGCUAUGCGUCACACCUUCAUGCGAAAGGACAGGAUAGUCGCAACAGAGUCGUGUGUCAUCUAGCAGCCUUUCUUUUCUUUCUGAAUUCGCGUAUAGUACACGUGCGUACAUAGACGUACGACCAUAUCACUGCGUAAUUUCUUUCUUGCAAUGACAUUUUGUCAGUUACUUACGUUCAUUAAUAUUGCAGUCGACAGUCUUCGAUCUAGAGUCGAAACUUUUGCGCGACACUACGUUCAUAUUUUUUUAAAAGUAAGUGCUCUCGUUUUAUGAACUUGAAAAAUUAUUUUGAGAUAUAUAGAUUUUGUUUUUUUAUAGAAUUUUUAUUUCGUUUCAAUACACAUAGAAGAUUGUCGCGGAUAGUACGUUGCAUACGAUGUUACUCUGCUUUCUCGUUUUCGCUUAUUGUAACAAGAGCUUUCUAGUUUCGCUAAUUAAAGUAUAUCCUAUGCGCGAAUCUUACACGCGCGUACCUUAAAAUUAAUUUUCCGGUCGAGAUUGAAUUUCAUAGUAUCGUGGAAAAUUAAGCGGACAUGUCAAGCUUUGUCAAGGACAGAAUGGCGUGUUUCCCGAGGUUUCCUACCCGUUAGAAUAACCGCGUGAUGGAAGGUCUACUUGCUGUUUGCGCAGUUUCGCUCUUCCCUUUUCUCUUAUCUCAUACAUACCUAAUCGCGCAGCUAUUCCGGUCGCGCCCGUGCAAAAACAGGCCAGUCGUCAAGUAUUCAUCGUUGCGACACUCCCGCAUCGUUUUCGUUUCUUUGCACCUUCGUUCUUGCCACCCAAUUAGCCGAGUCCGCCCGUACAUUUUUUAUCAUUAUGCUUCUUAACUCUUUCUCUUUCAUUAACCGCCGCCGCGGGCACGAAGUUUAAUUCUACCCCAUCACGCCGCGCUAUUGGUAAAUAGAGAUUUCCUUUUGAACGACGGGCUUUUUUCCCUACAAAAAUAUUAAUUUCACAGUUAAAUGGAGUGAAAGCACUUCCGACUUUGGCAGCUCUCGCCCGUUCUCGGUUCAUUAUUCCGAUAUUCCGUCACAGCGUUCGAAUGUGUUUUUAUUCUGCUUGCGCGCGCGCGCGCGCGCGCAUAUUAAAUUUGCACGAACGGAAAUGAUAUUGUCGCUAUCUACGGCGCGUCCGAGCAUCACUGGGAACAUUUUUCUGGACUUUUGUUUCAUUUUAUCAAAAACGUGGCAUGCAUAAUGGACAUUGACGCCGCUCGAUAGAAGAGAUAGAAAUAUAAAAGAGAUAUUUUUCUAUAGCGAUUCUUUACCAAAUUAAAUUAUGUAUCUCUCAAACGCGUUUUAUUUCAGCAAUUUAUUUUCUUCUUGUAUUAUUUACGUAAUGUAUAAAUAUGCACGCGCGCGCUGACGGAGCAAGUUUUCCUGGUCGCCUUGAAUUCAGCAAGAUUUAUUUCACAGCGCGCCGCGGUAACUCCUCUCUCUCUCUCUCUCUCUCUCUCUCUCUCUCUCUCUCUCUCUCUCUUUCUCUCUCUCGCCUCUUGUUUUUUUUGCACGGCGCACGGCAAAGUGACGGAGGACCAAAUGACCGAAGAUGAAAACCGUGCCUAGUCACGUACAGAGCGUCGCGUAAAGUGUUCAAGUCCUUCGCUCGCCAGACGAGAAUUACUGAUGUGUAAGUCGGCACUUUGGUGUGCGCUCGUCUAGAUAAUACGCUUGAAACGUUAAAACACAACGAGGAGCAUUCGUCUGUUUACGCGAGCGACUUUUACGGCCAUACGGACGAAGUACCGCGGCAUGCAUAGCGUGUCUCGAGUUUAGUCCUCCGUGCAACUGUAUGCGAUUUCAUCGACGGCCUUCGGACAGGGAUAUCUAUGUAUGCCUCGCGUAGCGCGUAGAAUGGACCGUAAAAGCGUUUAUAUUUGACUUACAGAUUUUCUGGUGAAAUUUACAUCUUUCAGAAUACAAGGCGCAAGUUUCAUUUAAUACCGUACAGAUGAAUUAAAAAAAAAAAGUAUUCGCCAAGUCGCCAGUCAGUUCGCCAGCUAUGCGCGUUAUCUUCGCGAGAUUUGAAUUACCGCAACAGUGAAUUAUAAAAUGAAGAUUUUUAUUUCGUAUCUAAAAUAAUAUUGCAGUAUUAUUUUCCGUUGUAAUCGUAUAAAAUUCAACAGUUCUCUAUUUCAUAUAUAUAUGUAUAUAGACGAAAAUAGAGAAGUAUUAACUUUUUAUAUGAUUUAUAUACAAUAUAUAUAUAAAACAGAAAUAGGAAGAAACUUAGAAACGAUGAAGAUACGAUUGGCACUUGUCUUUAAUAUCUUUAAGUUCUUCGUUAAACUUUGUUCGUUCUUACUAAAAAGAAAGUAUAGAGAGGAGGAACUUUGACAAGAACUUUCUUGAAAGGAAGAAAAUCGAAUUUUGCGAUUAAAAAGCCCAUUCCUGAUUCUAACGGUGCAAGCUACUUCACGUGGUAAGUGAGAAGGAUUCGUGGUUUCGAAGUUUAAGGCGUAUCUGAUCCUGUAUCGGAGAGUCGUUCCUCGAAAGUGCUCGAAACUGAUAAGCCUCGCGAAAGAUUCGCAAGCAUCGGUUGCCAUCUAUCCCUUACCCUCUAUCCGAUCUUCUUUCUUCAUUUCCCCCAAACUUUCUGUUAAAGCUGUGGCUUUCAACUUUUCGAUUUUCCUUUGAGUUUGGUAAUCUCCAGUAUUUCACGAUCGUGUCUCGUCACGGAAAUCUCGGGCACGUGGUCCAUUAUUGCGAAAUUAAGGCUAACGGGGAAAAGUUGUGAUGCGAAUGUGUUUAACUAAUUAGCGGAAAUGUGAGAAAGGCGAAGAACUUCGUUGCCCGCAUCAAAACAAAUUUAUUUAGCGAAUGCAGGACGGCGAAGCAAUUCAGGCCGGAAUAUCCCUUGGGAGACUGGAACGAUUUCGGUGAAACGUUCCAGAAAGUCGUAAAAGCUCCAGCCACUGGGAACCUUUAACUUGGCAUCUUUCACGGCAACAUUGCGAAAACCAUAUAUCACCGCUGGCCGCGGACGCGCAUUAAGUCCGCGUUUGUCCAGAGUUUCUCCGCGCAUUCGUUGACACGUUGUAAUUUUAUCAUCCCGAAGACGAAUAAUUUUAACGCUAUUGUCGACCAAGUUCUCGGUAGUUUAGUCAGGACGAAGUAUAUAUGCCGCGGUCAAAACUCUCAGCCGUACGUUUCACAGGGUCGGAAUAUAUUUACAUAUUUGCGUAACUUAUUUGCAUCCUCGAUAACGACUUAUAUACCGUGCAACCGCGGUUAAGAAAGCUUUCGUUAACAAUGUGAUUUAGGACCUUUAGAGUGGCGCGAGGGCAAGCAAAAAUUCAUGAGACGAUGUGGUAAUUAAAAAAUAAAAAACAAUAAUCCACUUAGAAAAAGAUUUACGGUCGCGAAUGCAUCGUGUUUAUGCCCUUUCUAUUCCAUCUCGGCUGACUUUAUUUUCAUCGAAAUGGUUUUCCCUUUUGGUUACCUCGAACUUAUCAUGCCACGGCUGGCGAUUACGUAGGUCUGCACCUUCGUCUGUGCCCGUAAAACUUCAUACACAUUUAUGCGCCUUCGUAAAGUGGAAUGGUUGCCGCGUCCAAAUCGCAUUUGGCGCGUUUCAUACAAAUGUACCGUCUGCGUGUGCUCAUUUAUCAUGAAUAUUGCGGUAUCCGGAGGGAAGGGCAGAAAAAAAAAGAGAAGAAAUUUGAUGCAGAAAAUCACAAGAGAAAGGAACGAAGGAGGAGUCGCAAAAUCGAAAGGUAUAUCACGGUGUAAGGUGAGCAGCGCGCAGCCGUGUAACUCUAGUCUGCUAAAUGACGAUUUUGUAACGUAAUAUUCGUAUUUUUGCAAAACUCCCUUGCGAGGAAAGUCUCGGCGACAAAUAUCGAAUUACCGUAAAUAUUUACUGAAGGAUGCAAUAUCAAUGGCUUGUAAUUAAAUCCUUUUGUAUAAUUCGCGAACCGUGAUGGAUUACAGUUGUUAUAAUUUCAUGCUCAUGCAUGAUGGCUUUUCUGUGCCAUGUAUUAUCGGUAUAAUUUCUGAAUCAGAAUUCAACGCGAAUGAAAUGAAAUUUAUUGUGAUAUUAAUGAUGCGCACCGGCACCGUAUUGACGGGUAUGCCACGCGGUGGCUCAAUUUUAAAAGGAAAGACGUUAGAGUUGCGGUUUGUAGACACAUCUUUGAUGCAUUUGAAAAUAUUCCACUGCGGUAGGAGUGCAUCGCGCAAGACAUAUCGAGCAAGUCUACACUCGAAACAUGCAACUGCAGUAAAGUAGUUCAUCUUUUAUUCAAUACGCGUUCUAAAUACGAGUAACGCAAAUUUUACGUGUUUGAGAGCAUUUGACGAACACUUCAUCCGAAUUCGCCGAUGCAUUUUACGGAAGUGGAAUUCAAUUGUACGCUAUUCUGCCAAUCGUGCAGAUAUCGGGAAUGUAAGUUGCGCAGUUGCGUAUACGCUAUAGUUUAUAUAAAUCACUGACGAUGGGCGCAUUAGAAAUUAUAGUUCCGACAUGAAGUGAUGCUUAAGAUUUUCGCUUUAACAUGCUACGCACCCACUGCAUUUUGCGCUGAAUGGACUGAUGCGAUGCGAGCACAUACAGAUGUGCCAGACGCAACAGCACCCCGCAAUACGCUACGUUACGUGUACGGUAUUUGCUUAACUUGAUUGAUAAACAGUCCCUCGAUGGCGUGGAGUAGCUACGCCACUCCCGAGUUUCGAUCUGGGCGGACCUCUGGGGACCUGGAAACGUUUACCUCGCACGUCACGUAUACGUCGUGUGACGUAGAUACUUUACGAACCACUAGUUCUCAGCGGUGUCAUUCAUGCGUUACAUUUGUCUGCUAGGGCAUGAUGCGGGCAUACCUACCUACCGUUACACUUGCACCGAUGAACCGUGCAGCAAUGCGCGAGAGUGAAUAUAUAAAAACGUUCCGUUUACACAUCAGUAAUAGAAUCCUAUUUACGUCGUUCGUUUGACGUUACAGAAUAGAAUGGAAUUUCGCGGAUUACGUGAAGUACACGUGACCGGACUGAACCGGUCACCUUUGUGUAAAAAAAAAACACACAUACACACAGGGGGAAAAAACAACACUAUCGUUGGUCGGAGUUCGUGCCCUCUUUUUCUCUCGAGGCGAAUUUAAAAUUUUAAUCUCGUCAAACACACACGUCAUAUGUGCCUGCUACAUUUUCAAUAACAUUUAAAAUACUCCGUUGUAUAUUUGAUCGCAUGAAUUCUCCCGAUAUUAAUGCACCUAGCGAGAUAUUCGGUUAUGCGCGAUUGAUUUGCCAUGAUUUAGCACAUCUGUGCUAAAUUGCGCGAAUUAGUGUACCCAAGUACACAUGUACAUCUAAUAAUUUAUAUAUAUAAUAAUUUUUUUUUAUUAUUAUGGACCUGAAGAUCCAUUGUGAUUACACUCUUUUUUGUAGAUGUGUUUUGAAAGUCCUUUUUUAAAUGUUUAUAUUAAAUCAUAUUAUGAUUUUUGUGUCUAUCUACGAGCAAUGUUCUGCGUCUAGAAUUAGAGUCCGAGGUUUACGGGUUUUUCUUGCCGGUGCGAUGCAUUAAAAUUCAAUCUUCGCGGCCUAAAGCGUAUCCUCGAUCUUUUUUUUUUUUGUAUUUCGCGAAAAGUAAUUAAAGCCGGCUUUGCCGUUUUGCUCCUCGUUGCCGUGGCUGCGCGGAGGCCGGGCAAAGGACGUGAGGAGAGGGCGCAAAGCCGAGAUUCGAUUUACUCACCGUUUCCUCCGUAGCCGAGCGUCGUAACACGAACGGAUAAAAACCCAUCCCACGCCCUUUCGUUCUGAACUUUUUCUUCCGUCCGACGUCAUUCUGUCCCUGCGGUUCGCCGCUAUAUUCCCACAUAUUACGCCGAUGUCAAAUAAUGCCGCCAUCGAAGGUGAAUUUAUACCGAAUACCCUACCAAUUUCGGUCCAACAAGCGAUAAAACAUGCCGGAACCCUUUCUACGCACGUAACUCACCCUCUCCGCCAAUCACGCGCAUGCAUCUCCCUCGACCUCUCCUCUCCACUUCCGGCUUUUCUUCAACCUGAAUAGCAGGACUGCAUAAGAAAGGAGAAAAAUUUAAUUUGUUGCACCAAUUUUGCGCAAUCACCCUUCGGCUUUUCGGACUAGGCUAUAUAUGUGCAUUAUCCGUGGUCAGUAUCGAGCGCAAGUAGAAACCCCUCGCAUAUUGCGCAAAAUAUAAAAGAGACUCGUAGACGCAGUUUUCAUAAUUUUACUUGACAUUUUUUUGUUUUAAACAAUUACGAUUAAACUAUGUUGAUAGAGAGAACUAUCGCUAUAGUUUAAACUGUAAUGAUAUCUCUAUCAUUCUCUCGAAUUUUUUUCCACAUUUAUAUGUCACUGAUUCUGUAUGAUGUAGUUAUUUUGUAUUAAGUAAAAUACGAACAUGCAUUGUAGUUAACUUGUAGCUAACUUGUAGCUAACUUGUUCUGUUGUUCCGUAAAUUAGCAGGGUAAUUAUACAUAUCACGGUGUAAGCUACCUAUACAACAAGCUUCAUGUUAAAUUAAUGAAAACGUAAUAGAAUAAAAAAAAGAUUGCAGAUAUGUACUUCUCGUAGAUUAUAUUUUUUUAAGUUUAUUUUAUGAUGCUCAAAUCCUAUAACAGUAAAAAAACCAAAUGUAAACUAUAAUAUUUUCAAUGUAAUUUUUUUAAUAUAAAAAUAUUCAAUGCAUUUUUUGUUAGAGUUAAGUUGCAAUUGAAUAUUACACACACUUCUCAUUCUACGUAGCUAAAUUAGUCUUAAAUAAAUGAGUCAACGUCUCCAUUCCUACAUACAUUGAUUUAACUUAUUUGAUUAAUCAAAAUAACAUGCCAUAUAGGAACAGGAACUUUUUUUUUCAAAUGACAACGUGUGACUUGGGUUUAUUUUUUCAAGUUGAAGAAUAUUAAUAUAAAAUUUUAAAAACUUAUUUGCCUUUUCUUGAAUUAGACUUUUCUUUUUCUUUAUUAUACUACUGAUUUGAUUUAAAUAAAUUUUUGAAAAUAGUACUUAUGUUACAAGAGAGAUAAUUUGCAAUAACUUAUUUAUUAUUUCUUUCGUCAUAAAUAUAUAAACCGGCAACCUGGUCUUCUUUAUUGAUCGCUUUUGCAUCAUACUAGCAUUUGUUAUAAGUUAAAUUUAGUUUUACAGACCUAAUGGAUAUAUUUUUCAAAAAUAUACUUGAACAUUGUCAACGAUAUAUUUAAUUAUCAAACGUAACAAAUGCAGAUCUGUAGUAAAAAUGACAUACCGAGAACUUGAUAAUCAUUCAAAGUGCAAGAAUACAGUGAAAUAUAGUAGGCCGAUAUAUUGAAAUUUAAGCGCAACAUUUAUCAUCGUCUCGUAUGACUAGCAUAUCUGCGAUCCUUUAGAAGUUUGCAUUUUUUACCGUAAUACAGGGAAGCUGUUCGAGCUAAAUGAUGAAUGUGGGGAGUAUAAACGUUAUCCAUAAGGGAGAAACACAAUGGUUAUUUUUGGACUUGAAAAAAUGGACUGGUGUACCCCAUAAAUAACAUCACAAUACGCGACACAUGUGGUAAACAUGAUACAUAGAGCAAAUCAAUGUUUUGUAGGGAUGGAAGACUCAGUGUUCCUGCGGUCAAGAGUGGCCGGAACGUUGUAACACGUAGGGUGUGUUUGGGCAAACCAAAGUGGGCUUGAGUGUACGGGUCUGCCUCUACAAUCAAUACUUGCGUACGUGAACGAACGGAAUGUAAUUUACGAUGUGCCAAGCGCUAUGCUCGAAAUAUCUUGCGGAACUUGGGAACUAUUUUAAACGUUACGAGCGGACGCGGUAUUCCUGAAGAGGUUCCGUUGAUCCGCGCUUUUUGCCAUUCGAAGCAAUUUACUCGCUCAGCAGAGCAGUUAACAUUCGAAAUAAUGUUUACUGCGCUAGAUUUCAGAUUAUCAGUUCUGCUUUCAAGUUCAACUGCAAUUUUUCUCACACGCGUACGUAUUUUUUAUCAAAUGCUUUCUCUUUCCUUUUGUUUUUUUACAUGUCUGUCCGCGACUUUUCGCAUUUCCAAGUUUCUAUUUUUCGUAACUUUUUCCGACGCUUUUGGGUCACACGCGGUUGUCUACGGCGGAAAAUGUCUGUAUCCGUUAUUGGACACAUAGUUCCGUGAUUUUACCAUCUCGUAUCCUUUCCACGUUCGAUGAACCAGGACACCAUAUAUGAGGAUGGUUUGCACGUGCGCAAGGCGGUCGCUAUAUCGCUACACGUAAGGAUCGUAUGUGGCACCGUCCGGGUGAUUGGAAAGGGUUUCUGCAAUAGAAGGAUAUACGUGCAAGCAUUGCAACUUGCCCAGUUCCGUUUGUCCAAAGUUAAAAUUACAUGUUUGUAACGAAAACUGGGAAAUACUUUUCCUGUUUCUUAUGUAUUUUGGAGAAAACAAUUCUAAACUCUCGUUUCAUUUGAUAACUACUUGUACUUUUACAACGUUUUCGAAACGGACUGUUAUUUCGAGUUUCAUUCGUUCAAAUAAUAUAAUAAUUAAUAUUCUAUAAAAAUUUAUAUUUUCAUCUUUCUUUAUGUAUAAAAUACGAUUAGAGUUUUCUAAUUUAUAAUUUAAAUAUAAUUUUUUGCAUUGUUAAUUUUUAAUAUGUUUAGAUUAAAAGUUGCAACGUAUGAACACGCGAAACUCCGCAGGACAAUAUAGAAUAAUUUACUUAUAUUAUGAUAAAUUAUUUUAAAACAUUGUUUACAAGAUUCCUUAAUUUCGUAAUUUUCGAACGUUGAUGUUUUUUUUUACGCGUAGUAAUUAAAAAGAAUACUAUUUUUUUUGCCGGAUUCCAUUGAAAUUCCGUUGAAAUCGGUUCGACAGUUCGGUUGGAAUUUAGGGUUUUAUCGGCGCAAACAUAUACAUGUACAUCCGCGCACUUUUCACAAUAGCCAAUAUACGUUAUGAAACUGCGACUGCCUGUAGGUAACACGCGGGUGUGUAUCGAAAUCUAGGUCAUAUAGCAGAAGUGACUGUCAGAAAAGAAUUAAAUUCCCUGGCAACAUUUCAUUUGUACAUUUAUACCUGUGUCUAUUGAUAUAUGAAAAAGUUUUUGCGUAAUGUAAACCCCAUUGAUAUUGAGUGAGGGAAAACGCGAUGGGGAGAUACUUUCGUUAUGGAAUAAUAUAUCUACGUUGAAGUGGCGGAAAAGUUGGGAAAAACAUCGGAACAUAUGAAACUCUCUCUCUACAACCAUGCAUCAUAAUUCUCGUGGCAGUCUGUAACAGUAAAUUAUAGUACUCUGGCAUUUAAGAGCAAACUUAGUGAUUAUGGGAUGACAUCAGAUUUUCGAUUAAGAUGGAAAGCUUGUUUUUCAUAUUUCUAUUUAGUAAUUAGGAACAUGGAUAUUAAUAUCCAGACUUAUUGUUAGAUGAAAAUUUGCUACCUAAAUUUUAAUUGCUCUUGUUUUCUUUUCGAGAUUAAUAGAUUCGUAAUUCGCACUAAUGUUGCGCAAUGCAGCAGUCGUUUUUGUCUCAUGAGAAACUUUAUUUUUUAUUUUCAAUAUUUUCGAUAUUUUCUGGACUUUGCAUCUGUUCCCAUUUUGUGCACACGAAAUUAAUUUCUCGUUUCGCAAAAUGUAAUACGACGUGCCGAGCUAUUCAUCAUCGAACAGUUUGAUAAUGCACCUAUGCGCGUAUCCGGCUGUCGCGCAACGUGCUAGUGAGAAUCGAGAGACAUGAUCCCUCCAGAUACACAAAAUAAAAACAAUAAAAUCGAGGAAGAAGCUGGCGCGGCCGAAUAACCAUGCCGGCAAUAAAUCUGUCAGCGGGAUAAAAUAUGCAUCCGGGGAAAACGGGCGUCCCGCGCAAUCAGGGUGCGAGCCUGAAACAAAUGUACCCUACCAAGCGAGUGUCGGUCGUUAUCGGAAAAUAGUUUUGCGGCUGCCAGCCACGAUGGCCCUCGUUGAGUGCGCUCGAGCCUGCGGCUGUUAUCUUGCAAGAGUAAUAUCUCACUGAAUGAGUCUCGACGUAGCUACUUCUUCCUUGAUCUUCGAUUAUAGAAUUUAGGAUCCUAUAGAUUGAUAACGGGACACUCGUCUAUUUCGAGAUAACAGCGUUUUCUUAGUAUCCGAUAAUAAUCAAUCAAAUCACAGGUGCUCUCGAUUGAUUAAUUAUCAACGAUGCUGUAUGCGAGAAGAGUAUUUCGUUCGAAUAUCUUUGUUGGAUUCCACGGUGCAUUACACAUGGAAUAUUAUAUUUUGCGAUCAGAAAGGAUUUUUAAUUAAUUUUCAUUCUUUGCAGAAAUUGUAACUUCAAACAUUCCAGGAAUGUGUCAUUACUAAAGCUUAUUGCUGUUUCAAUGAAGCGUGCGAUUGAUCGACAUAACGCGCUUGGAAUUUCGUAUUGCUUUCAAAUUUGACUCUCGUUUGAUUUUGCUGAAACAUUCGUGUGACAUCUAAGCGUCGUCUAGACUGUAAGUUUGUGAUUUUAAUGACGUUACUUAAAUGGGAUUAUCACUCAAUUUACCUUGAGGUCAAUUUGAGUUUGCACGAGUUAAUAAUAUUCGAUUAAGUAAUUUAUAUUCUAAUUGGAUAAUUAUUGUUAGAUACACACGGUUAUACUGCUGUGUGUACUUUAUGCGCGUAUACCUUAUAAGGUUUACAGACUAAUCAAACGUUCGAAAGCAGAAAUAACGCAUUGCGCAACAAAAUAAAAGCAGUGUGUUUAUUUUGGUCAUAUAAUACACUCUUUUUCUCAGGCUCUCGCACGCACCGCCUCUUUUUUUUCUCGCGAUUCGUUACAACAGUCGGAGUUUCUAUGAAAAAGCGGUUUUACGCUCUUCUCAUUUGAAUCUCUUACAACCUUACAAUAUUACGAAAUUUCUCCAAUAUUGCUGGAUUGUAUUUAAUUAGUUUUUACGCGGUUCGUGAUUACCGGUGUGCCGUAUCCGCGUCAAUGCAUCUUUCGCCUUUCGAUUUUGCGCGGAAUCGGUACGACUAUCGAUUAUCCGCUCGAUUCUCCGUGCACGUAGUCCGCGGGCCACGGCUCGUAGUUUCGAUUAGGGAUUCUAUAGUACGAGGUACCGGAGGGAGCUUUUACUUUGUUUCCGCGGUGAUUUUCGACGAGGGACAGAUUGCGACUCGCGCGUUCGCCGGCCGUGCCAGACGAUUGCCGAGGGCUGACCACUUGAAACGGGAAGGGAAUGAUGGCGAGUGUGUGUGUAGGUGUGCGAGAGAAGACAGGGAAAACGAGAGGUGGGACAAGAGAGAGGCUUCUAUUUGAAUGGCCACCCAUACCAACGUACACUUACGCGGCCACUGCACCGCUUCGCCUCGUUUCCUCCCCCGUAUACCGCUCUUUUCCCACCGCGUACUUUCACCCUUUGCCACACGCCUCCUUCCUCGUCUACUUUCCAAAUGUUCGAAUUGCGUCCUGUCCGAACCGUCGAUUAACAUCCUCAACUACUCUCUGUCGCUCGAUGCCCAGAGGGAUGAAGUAACUUUUUCAAUCUCAUCGUGAAGAGCGAAAAGAGAGUUGUUAACAUAGUUGUGCAGCUCAAAAUUUAACUGGAUAGAUUUUAUAUGCUUUGUGUAUUUGCUCAUCCUUUUUUAAGAAGAGAUUGGCUUUGUGUCGUCUCUUUGUGCUUCUUGUAAAAAUGGUUCGUACAAUCAUGAGAAAUUUAUAAAGGAUGUUAAGCGAAGCGUUUACAUCGCCAAAGCUUUGGACUGAACGGAAUUUGAUGUAGUUGGCUUGCAAAAUAUUGAUAAUAUUGAAUGGACUACAAGCUUUUACAAGAGAGAAAUGACAAUUGCGGAAUUUCGGAAUAUCUCUUCUAAAACAUCGGAUACUUGUAUUGUAUACGUAUAUAAAUAUUACAUCCAAAUAUACAACUCGCUCUUUAUUGUAAAUUUAUGUCCCAAUUUUGUUUUAUUGUGUAGAAUGAUUGAUAUGACACAUAAUAUGCAUCGCAUUGCAUAUGCACUGCAUGCGCCAAAAGUAACAAAAAAAAAAAUUUAUAUCCGUAUAUUUUACACUAUAAUCAAUUUUCAAUGGAGUUUUUUUUCUAUUUGACAAUAUGAAAUCUGUUUUUCAUAUAUUUUUAGUUUAAAUUGCUCGCUUGUUACCUUGAAUUAUUUGUAACGAUAUUUAGAAAGUACUGCCUUAAAUAAAACAAGAAGUUAGCAUUCCCUUUUUAUUUCCUUGGCUCUAGCAUCUUUUAAUCAUGAACACUCAAUUGAAGGAAAGUCAUGAGUUUUUUCAGCUGCGGACAAUUCAUAUGCGCCGACGACCAAUAAUUAUUUAAAUAUUAUUCCCGUUCUUCGGCGAAGAAUCGGAAUUCCGAAUUCGGAAGAAUCGAGACUCGUAGCUCUUCGCUCGGCUCAUUAAUAAUGUAUUAUCAAAAGCUCCGGGAGAGUCUUCCGGGUGGCAGAUGGAACGCAAGCGUGGGAUGUCAAUGUUGGUUACCGGGCGGAGGUGGGAUACGGGAAGUAGGUCCGUGGUGUAUGCCCCUCGUAAAAGGCGUCCCGACGCCACGCAGCGGCGGCGGGUGGCAACGGCGUCGGUGGCGGCUGCAUUAUCGAGUACACGGCAAGUCGCGAGUUUACAAGUUAAUGCAUGUUAAAUCGCUCGAGCGGAAUCGACCGGCGUGCAUAAUGGAACGUAACGCAGUCCGUGUGAGGCCCGCAGGGUUGUUUCAGGCGCACCGCCCUAUAAGCGCCGCUGGUGUCAGGAGGUGCCGAGGGUAUGAGAGGGAGAGCUCAGAGGUCGGCCUGUGACAUUAUUAACAGAUACGACGUGCAUAGACGGGGAGUUAACAUAUAACGAGGCGGAAUAGAGCAAAAUGAGCCUGUGCGACACUCAGGGGAGGGAUGUCGCUUAAAGCGGAGUCUUCGAAUGUAACCAACAUCUACUAUAAAUUAAUUUACAUUCACGUAUGUUAAUUUAAACACAACGUAAAUUUAAUUAUAGUUCACGUGUUUGUUAGAUUUUUUUUGGAAGCAAAUGCAAAGUUACAACGCGAAUGCAAUGUCCGUCAUGUCUGACUCUGUUCAGCUUUUACUACUUACAUCGGACAUUUUAAUAUACAACAGUUCCAGGAGACGACGGAUAUUGCCCAACAUGUAAUAUUACAGUCGCUAAAUAUCAACUGUUAAUUAACAAAAAUUGUUACGCAGAGUGUUUCGUUACAGUGCGUAUAAAGCAACGUGUCACACAUUAUGUCACGCGUAUACAUACAGUCUCUAUUUUCACGCACCAUUUGCGGCUGGGAAUUUCAAGCAAUAUCCUCAUGCGUGCGCGGGAUCAGCCAAGCGUCCAGAAAUGGGUAGAUUGUUUGACUAACGACAUUCGGUCUUGGCCAUUUCUAUCGCGCCAAAUUUCGUGUCCAGAACCCGUGAGCGCGCGUGACAUGCAAAUUGCUUUAAUUUAUACGGGAUCUGGAGACUGUUGUUUGGUCAGGUUGGCGACUACCAGCCAGAUUGGGACGGUUUGGGUUCGGCGAACGUGCCUGAGCAUCGAUUGCCACGCUUGCCCACCAUGCAAGUCGUAUUCCGUCAUUUAAAAGCUGCCAUCUGCAAUAAGAACAAGAAUAACCGAAUAGUGGAAUAUCAAUAGGAAUAAUACUAUUUGCGCAGUAUGAUUGUUAUAAUCAAGGAACUUAAAUCCUUCAUCUGCUUCGCAAAUAUCCUUCGAAAACGCGCAUAAAUGUACAUUUGGUUUGAAUAUUUUUUUACAAAUUAAGUUCUAAUUAUCUGCAUAUAGUGAAAAUUUAUGAUUUAUAUUAUAAUCUGCUGUAUAGCUUUUUUUACCGGAAUCAAAGAACAGAAGAACUUAAUAUAUUUUAUUAUAAUUUUUAUUUAUAAAAAUUUAACAACUUUUGUACUAGUUACAAAAUAAUUUUUACAAGAAAUAUUAAAUAAAAAAAUUAUAUAUAUUUUUAUACAUAUUACAUGUAUAAAAUGUUUUACAUUUACACUCCAUGUGUUACGUGAGAAUAAUUGCGAAUAUAAACUCAUUGUUCGUGUAGAUUGAAGUUCUCUCUCUCACGCAAAGGUGCGUGCGCGUUAGAUAUGUGGACAAUAGUCCACGUAUACGUAAUUUUUUUGCACCCCUGGCUGUAAUUGACUACGGUCAAAGAAGCGAGAAUGUUUCGUACAAAUUUUGAGUAGGUAUAGUGAGUGAUGUGACCUUACAACCCUAACUUCGCUGAUCCCUGCUUAGGUCGAUAUCUCAUGGAACGUUAACCUUCGCGAUAAUGGGAAUGAGCAACUACGAUAAAAGGUUUUCGAUGUUCUGCCAUUCAUCUAAUAAACGCGAGUGAUGUUAAUAUUCAAAUCGUGUUUGAUUUAUUAAUGAUGUUUCUUCUCUGUGAUCUUGUUAGCAUAAUCACGACGAUAAAUAAAAUUAUUACAAAAUUUAAUAUGGAUCGUAAUUAAAUGCCACUAGAUGUAUGUAUUUUAAUGAAGAAUCAUCGAAAAACUGAUAAUAGCUAUGUAUAACUGUGGUGUUAUUAUUUUAAUUAUUGUAAUUUAUGUAUAAGUGUUUUUCGUUAUGUCUAAUGUUCAUAUAAAUAGUUAGAAACAUUCGCUUAAUUGUUAUAUUUUUUACGUGACAUUUUCACAAAAUGUAAGAAUAUUUAAUAAGUCAUAUGUAAUAAAAUAGUAGGUAUAUAUUAAUUAGUUGAAAAAACUCAUUUUUAUUACAGCCAUUAUUAUUUUGUAUAGAGAACUAAAUAAUGAAUAUCUUCUUGAUAUUUUGAAUCGACUUUCUGCAGAAAUAUUUACUAUGAACAAUAAUGUGAUUGUAGAUUAAUGUUUUCUUUUUUUAAACGAAUAUCCACAAGGAGCAUUUAAUGAAAUCAAAGUAAAAUGCUUAUUUGAUAGCAUGUGAUAUUUUUAUAACGAAUAAAACCCAAAAUAUUUUUUUUAUGAUUAAUAUAGCUUGAUCUAUUUAUUGUUAGAAACUAUUACUCAAAAUAAAGAUUUCAUUAUAUAUGAAAAACACGAAUAUAUUUAACAUGCGUGUGACUCAAAUUAUAAUUCUUAAAAACAAAUAAUUUAAUAAUUGAUGAAAUUUAAAAAUGUAAGUCUUUAAAUAUCAUCUAUUUCUAUCUGCGACAUAGGAUUAAAUUAUACAUUUCCUGUUUUUAUAAUUAUAUUACAAAAUCCAGAUGAGAACGCGAACAUUUAAUAUAUUCGCGUGUAACUCACCUUCACAAAUUUUCGUCAAGUAAUUUUCUAGUUAAUAAAAUCUAAUUAAGAAUACAAAGUUAAAAAUAUCAGCUAUUUUCGUUUGGGAUUAACUUUUACAUCUCCUGCGUUUAUUACAGUAUUUUGGGACCCAGGUGGACUUUACCUGUUCAGUAUGAUGCAAGAUUGCUGCGUGAAAGUGCAUCUCAUCGCAGAUCCCGCAAUAAUGUGGUCGUAGAGCUUUUUAUCGUUUCUCCGUUGGGCGAACUAUAAACUCUUACAUAAUUCAUAGUAGGUAUAAACAGCGUCAGUGAGCCGCAAACCGGACUGGACGAAGAUUCAUAAUAUCGGGGAUGCAUCGCAAAUUUGAAAAGACACACAGUCGGCUUUCCGGCUUUCCGCAAAGAUUGCUACGUUUUUAAUAGAUCAAAUAAUCAAAGUAUUUGAAUCUAAUGAUUAUCAUUGAUUUUUAUAUGCGCACAAUUUAAAGUUUUCAUGUGUUUUAUCUGAGAGAUAAAGAGAGAGAGAGAGAGAGAGAGAGAGAGAGAGAUUUAUACAAAUUUAUAUAAAGUAAUUUAAGUUUGUGACGAAUGCUUCUCAUAUUAUUUGUCUUUGGUCAUUUCCUGUUUUGUUUUUUUUUUUUUUUUGCAAAUUUGAAUAAAACAACGAAGUCAUUGUUUUCUUUUCCACUUAGAUUUUUAUCAGUUUUUCCUCUCAUUUAUUUCUCUAUUGUUUUACAUCAGUUCCGAUAUUAAGAUCGCCACAUUUUUUGUUUAAAUUAGAGCAACUGAAUUUCGUUGCUUGUUCUAUUUUAGAUUCACUGAAUUAAAUCACGGAACUUAAUUACCGUAAAUCGCGUUUCUCUAACCCGGAAGAAAUUUCAGAUUUCGGUUAGUUUAGAAUCAAGAAUGAUGGAAUUACAAAAUCCAAUUAUCGUAAAUCUUGUUUUUUAGUCGGCCGCGGAAGAAUUUCAGACUCCAUUUGGUCUCGAGACAGGCGAUCGAUCUAUGUGGGACUAUAAAUUUUGUUUUCCGCGCUGGCCAGAGAGGAAUUUAUGCUCGUCGCCCAGCUUUUAAUGGUCACUAGCUGUGAGGCUACUUCGAUGAUCGCAAGCACGAGCGGCGCAUGGUACCGCCGUCUCGAUUAGGCGAAAUGGCUCUGAGAGAAUUCACGGCAUGUGGCGCAAUAUUGCCACGUGUAGAUCACGCCGUGCCAGGUCGAAGAAGGCGGAGGUGGCGGCCAGGUUGUCGAGUGGUGGUUUAAUAUACGCUAUGAAAGACGCGUACUGUAUAUUACACACGUACAUACACACGUUUUACAUGUAAAACGAUACCAUACUUUAUACCA